rnacentral:lncRNA from 1 species
UGAAGCACGACGGUCUCGACGGUGAGCCCAGGCCCAAACCCAAAUAGAACACCCCACUCCAGGCCCUCUCCGGUGGUCUUGUGCCCAUUAGCUGCAGACUUCCUCCUGACUUCGUCCAAAAUAAACAACACACAAGCACUAGACAUGUUUCCAUACUCGGAUAGGAUAUGCCUCGUGGCUUCCAACUUCUCAGGCUUGAGGGCCAAUUUAGCUUCCACUUGGUCCAAAAUUGCUGGGCCACCUGGGUGUGCAAUCCAGAAAAGUGAGUUCCAGUCAGUGAUAUUCAAAGGUUUGAAGGCCUCGUUGAGACUCUUCUCGAUGUUCUUCGAAAUCAGCCCAGGAACAUCUUUGAGGAGGUGAAAUGUGAGCCCAACUUCACGAAGAUGCCCGUCGAUGGCUCCGUCACUAUCGGGAAGGAUAGUUUGGGCCGCUGAGACAAGCUCAAACAAAGGCCUCUCAACCUCGGGCAAUGGGUCAGACCCAACAAUUAUAGCUGCGGCACCAUCACCGAACAAAGCUUGGCCCACAAGACUAUCGAGAUGGGUGUCGCUAGGCCCACGGAAGGUCACGGCAGUGAUCUCAGAGCAAACAACGAGAACACGUGCCCCCCGGUUGUUCUCAGCCAAGUCUUUUGCCAACCGGAGCACCGUGCCUCCGGCGAAACAGCCUUGCUGGUACAUCAUGAGACGCUUGACGGACGGGCGGAGGCCUAAGAGCUUCGUGAGCUGGUAAUCGGCACCGGGCAUGUCGACACCACUAGUGGUACAAAAGACCAAGUGGGUGAUUCUGGACUUGGGCUGACCCCAUUCCUUAAUGGCCUUGACAGCGGCAUCUUUUCCAAGCUUUGGAAUUUCAACUACCACCAUGUCUUGUCUUGCAUCAAGUGAAGGCGCCAUGUACUCGCACAUACUGGGAUUCUCUUUAAGAAUUUCUUCAGUCAAGUACAUGUAACGCUUCUUGAUCAUAGAUUUGUCACCUGGAAAUGCAACAUCGUGGCUCUAGCCAUCAGUAUUUUAUUAUCUCCCAUCAUAAAUUCUUCAAUUAAAUUCACAGGUGUAAGAGGGGCUAGGGAAGCUCCUUAUAAGAUUUCAACACAAAAAUGGACAACUUAUGAAUUAAGGACAGAAAUAGAGAAGAAAGAAAUAUAUCAUGGGUCAGUGGCUUGCUAGGCCCUACUACUUACACAUGCGCUGGAAUUUCUCCUUGAGCUCAGCCUUGUGCUCACUGUUGGUGAUACGAAAGUAGUAGUCGGGGUAUGUGCUCUGGUCAAUACAGUUGGGUGGUGUCGCUGUCCCGAUGGCCAAGACAGUGGCCGGACCCUCAGCGCGUUGAGCCUUGCGGACUUCCUCAACGGUCACCAUUUUGAUUUCUCAGAGAAGUGUCGAGAAGGAUCAAAAUGGGGAGGCUAGGAGGAAGAACAACGAGGGAUUGAGCAGUUGGUGUUGUGUUACAGUAGGAAGGCAAAGCUCAAAAAGUGUUGGAAUAUAAUGGUAUGAGAAAUGGAGUUGUAUUUAUAUAUGAAAGAUAGAAGGGAGGGUUGGGUAGCUGGGGGAUCACAUGCCUGCCCAAUUGCCUUGUUAGAACCCCCAAGAGAAUGGCACGUGCAUGGUAUUUUUGUGUGAUCAAAAUUCACAUGAUUUGGGAUGUGGUGCUUCUCUCGUCUUACCUACCAAACAAAAGGGCUGCAAAAAAUCAAACAGCCUUCUCUCUUUUUUAUUCCAAUUUCAGUUGUCAUUUAAAUUAUUAUCGAUAGAGCCACAAUACCAUACAUAUGUUAAUCCAAGAAAUUCUAUUAGACAGUUUAACUCAUUUAAAAAUGUGAUCCUACUUUAAUCUUACAUUACUUUUAGGAGUUCAUUUAUUUUGAAAGAUAAUUAAUUAUAAAUUUUUUACGACUUCAUUGUCAUUGAUAUUGUAUUUUGAGGGAUUUUUAAUAGGUAAAAAUUUACAAAUGGUCACUGACUUUUGAUCUAUUAAUCACUUUACUCACUCACAUUUCUAAAAUAUCACUUAACUCACUAACUUUUGAUUCCGUCUCUCACUUAACUCACUGUCAUUAAACCUACCGUUAAAAACCGUUAAAGUUGAGGGUAUAUUUGUCUAACCACAUAAAAUUCAUUUCUAACUUGUUUUAUUUUAUUUCUAAAGUUAUUAAAUCAUUUCCCUUUUUAUUUUAUGAAAAAGAGUGACUUUAUAAAAUCUGAAAUUAUUUUGAAAAAAAAAAUUUAUUUAUUUUUUUUCACGAUACAUUAUUAACUUAGAAAUGCAUAUUUUUCUUAUUUGAAAGUUAUUAAAUUAUUUUCAACUUUAAACAAAAAAAAACAAUAUGGAAUUUCUAAUACAAAACAAAUGUUUUAGAAUUAAAAUCUGAUGAGAAUAAAACAAUUUUUAUUUUUUUCCUAAAAAAAAUAAUUGGAAUUCAUUUUUGGUGUUUAGACAAAUAUACUCUCGAUGUUAACGGUUCCUAACUGUAGGUUUAACGACGGUGAGUUAAGUGAGAGACAAAUCAAAAAUGAGCGAGUUAAGUGAUAUUUUUAUAAUGUGAGUGAGUAAAGUUAUUAAUUUAUCAAAAGUCAGUGACCAUUCGUGAUAUUUUGUCUUUUUAAUAAUUUUUCUAGCUUAGACGCAAUGACGUCGCUGCUAUAUUGAAUGGAGCUUGACUCUGCUUACCUCAAAAUUAUAGUGUUGUUUUCCUUAAAAAAACACUAAAAGUGAUUCAUUUUAUUUUGGGGUAAAAAAAAUGAUGAAUACCAAAUAGUCAGAAGAUAUUAGCAAAUUGAUUGUUAUUUAUAUUUUGGGGUGGUAGCUAGGUAAAUACAUAGGUUUAGUAUAUACUACUUGAGCAUGGGUUUAGUAUAUACCAAAUAGGCAGAGUGACAUGAAAGCAGAGAUAUUUUAUUUCUGACCAAGUAUAUACUAAAUACACAGGUUUAGUAUAUACUAAUUGAGCAUGGGUUGCCAAUAAUUAUAGUCACUGAAAGAUGAUAGGCUUAGGUGAGAGGAAUGAGUUUUGUUAGUAUGGGAAGAGAGGGGAAGGAGAGAGGGUGGUAGCUAGCUGCAAUUCAUGUGCUUGACCAUUGCCUUCUCUGUUGUAAAACCCUCUCAAGUCUUAGCUACCAAAUCCAAAUGCCUCGCUGGCUUGCCCUUCUCACUUUAGUCUACAUUUCUGAGCUACAGUGUGCAAUUUAAUGUGCUACUCUGCGUAGGAAACACUACCUUGUUUUGGAUAAUUGCAUCAGGAGGGUAGGCAUAAACAUGCGUGAGUAAACUUCCAGCUGAAUUUUCUACCGUACUCAGUCGCUUGGUUUUCCAAAUCCACUGAAUCAGUAGAAUCAGCAAACACAUAAUCAAAUCAGCAUAAACACACAUGUUUUUCAUCUGGAGUGACAGUGGAUGAAGUGUUAGGGAUAUACUUACAUCACUCAUAACCCACUUGAUGGCAUUGUGAUCUUGUUAAUAAGCACAUGACUUUCAUUUCCACCCUCUCAUCUUGUUAAGUGAGUCAUAAAUGAUAUGGCAUCUGCCACGUCUACUGUUUUGUCCUGAUUCCUUACAUACUAAUAUCCAGCAUGAUAUGAUGAUGUGUCAUUAUUUCUACCACAUCAACACCACGUCAUUUUGAGACUCAAAUUUGGGAAAUUUUGAAGUUUUGAACUACUUUUUAAAAUCGAAGGAUUAAAUUUUAAAGGAAGUUACAGAAAAUGUGAUAAUGAAAUACAUGUUUACUUGUUCUUCUUACAUUAAGUAUGCUUGUGGACUCAUGUUAGUCACCUCAGCAUAGAGAAAAUUUUAGGCUUAUGUGUUUGUAAUGCACUUAGUGAUGGAUGAAAAUGAAGUGAAUGUAACUCAGUUAAUUGUACUCUUGUUUGUAUCACUUUCAGCUGCCAUACCGGAAACGUAAACUUUGUGUUGUCAGCCAAAUCUCUGCACAUUUUUCUUUUUGUACAAAAGAUUGGAUUUGCAUGCUGACCCUGCAUCCAUGGCCAUACGCUAUAAAGAUGUGCUGUUUUUCCAACACAGUCUUGUAUGCAAAUGUAGCUGCGGUUCGAGACUUUAUUUUAUAAAUUUAUUGGGCGUAUACUUUCAUUUACUUGUUUAUGCAGAUGUCAUUUCCCUGCUCUUUCUGUUAUCAUCAUCAAUAUGCUGCAUUCACUAAUACUUUAAUAGAAUCGGUUGAAAUAUUUCAUGCUACUUCAAAGAAGAUAUGUUCGGAUCCAUAUUGAAACAUUGGUUUGUAUGAUGCAGGGAGUGAAACACUCCCAAAAGCAGUUCAUAGAUGUUUUGAGAUGUUGCUAAUGCACAUAUUCUAUCCCUGGAGAAUCCCCCAGCUAGUGGGAGAUAACUUUCAUCCCUUCAAUCUUCCUGGAAUGUAACUUGGUAACUAAAUAAUUUCACAAAGUUCUGAUCAUUAUGAAAUAUAGGAAUCUUAUUAUUCAUCAUUACAGAUAUUGCUACCCCUUUUGUUUUCUUCAUCAAUCUAGUAAUUAGCAACAUGAAAGUAACCAAGGUGAUGGCAUCUAAGUUUACCUCAGAAUGCCCAAAUGAAGAUCACCAGAAAAAUAAAUCCAAAAAAGGAAAACUACCCAGAAACGUAGUGGAAAGAAUACAUAUAGCAGAUCAACCAAGUGAACCCAGAUACCUUCAAGUUCAAGCAGCCACACUGUGAAGCACAACGGUCUCGACGGUGAGCCCAGGCCCGAAUCCAAACAGAACACCCCACUCCUUCCCCUCUCCGGUGGUCUUGUGCCCAUUAGCUGCAGACCUCCUCCUCACCUCGUCCAAAAUAAACAACACACAAGCACUAGACAUGUUUCCAUACUCAGAUAGGAUAUGCCUCGUGGCUUCUAACUUCUCAGGCUUGAGGGCCAAUUUAGCCUCAACCUGGUCCAGAAUUGCUGGGCCACCUGGGUGUGCAAUCCAGAAAAGUGAGUUCCAGUCGGUAAUGUUCAAAGGCUUGAAGGCCUCGUUGAGGCUCUUCUCGAUGUUCUUCGAAAUCAGCCCGGGAACAUCUUUGAGGAGGUGAAAUGUGAGCCCAACUUCACGAAGAUGCCCGUCGAUGGCCCCGUCACUAUCGGGAAGGAUAGUUUGGGCCGCUGAGACCAGCUCAAACAAAGGCCUCUCAACCUCGGGCAAUGGGUCGGACCCAACAAUAAUGGCCGCGGCACCAUCACCGAACAAGGCUUGGCCCACAAGACUAUCGAGAUGGGUGUCGCUAGGCCCACGGAAGGUCACGGCAGUGAUCUCAGAGCAAACAACGAGAACACGUGCCCCCCGGUUGUUCUCAGCCAAGUCUUUUGCCAACCGGAGCACCGUGCCUCCGGCGAAACAGCCUUGCUGGUACAUCAUGAGACGCUUGACGGACGGGCGGAGGCCCAAGAGCUUCGUGAGCUGGUAAUCGGCACCGGGCAUGUCGACACCACUAGUGGUACAAAAGACCAAGUGUGUGAUUUUGGACUUGGGCUGACCCCAUUCCUUAAUGGCCUUGACAGCGGCCUCUUUUCCAAGCUUUGGAAUUUCUACCACCACCAUGUCUUGUCUUGCAUCAAGUGAAGGUGCCAUGUACUCACACAUGCUAGGAUUCUCUUUGAGAAUUUCUUCAGUCAAAUACAUGUAACGCUUCUUGAUCAUAGAUUUGUCACCUGAAAAUGCAACACCACACCUCUAGCCAUCAGCAUUAUAUAAUAAAAUCAUGCAUAGAAAGGAUUAAAGUGUAGACUAUUUAUAUAAUUCGAACACAAAAAUGAACAAGUUAUAAUUUUAAUUGACAUGGAGAAGAAAGAAAAUUAUGGAUCAGUAGGUGGUACUACUUACACAUGCGCUGGAAUUUCUCCUUGAGCUCAGCCUUGUGCUCGCUGUUGGUGAUACGGAAGUAGUAGUCGGGGUACGUGCUUUGGUCAAUACAGUUGGGAGGAGUUGCAGUCCCGAUGGCCAAGACGGUGGCCGGACCCUCGGCACGUUGAGCCUUGCGGACUUCCUCGACGGUCACCAUUUCGAUAUCUCGGAGAAGUGUCGAGAGAAGAUCAAAAUGGGGAGGCUAAGGAGGAAGAGGGAUAGAUGGAGCUGUGUGUUGUUGCGUUAUAAUGCAAAUGAAAAAUGUUAGAAUAUAAUGGUAGGAGAGAAGGGGAGGUUGUAUAUAUACACGGAAAAGGAGUAGAGAAGGGAAGAGAGGGAAGAGAGGGUUUAGGGUGGGUAGAUGGGAGAUCACGUGCCUGCCCAAUUGCCUCGUUAGGAAACCCCCAGCUACGGCACGUGCAUUAUCGUGUACGUUGCUGGCUAAUCGAAAUUCCACCCGAGUUGGAACGCCUAUUGUUCUCUCGUUUUACCUACCAAACAAGAGAGCACAAGAUAUUAAAGUUUCUUUUUAGUACAAACUUUAAUUGGUAUUAAGAAUUAAUUUUGAUAGAUGAGCAGUACAAUAUCGACAUUACACAUGUAUUUGCAAACCAAAAUGUCAACUGAUCAUAAUCAAUGAAGCUCUACCUAUUCAAACAUACACUCAAAAACAGAAAUAAUGUUGUUUAUAAGUAAUUGAGUCGGUUUUAUUUAUUAAGAAUGCUAUGUUGUCUCAAAUUUACUCGAAUAGAAAGUUAAUCAGUUAUAUCUUUUAACCGCUUCAUACAUAAUAAUUCAAGGUUUUAGCUGUUUCAUACAUAUUAAUAAUCGAAAGUUUUCCGCUUCUCUUAAAAUUGAAAAACCUGCAACCAAUUUAUUCAAAAAGAAAAACAUACAAACAAUAAACUAAUUUUAGUUUUGGAUAAACAAGACCAAAUGCCAAAAAAUCAAAACAUACCAGCAAAGUUGACUAUUAUGAGUUUUAUUUUAGGGGGUAGCUAGGCACUAGGCAGAGUUACAUAAUUUUUAUAUAAAUAUAUAUCUAAUUAUGCAAGUGUCGCCAUUAAUAAAAAUGGUAGACUUAGGUGAGAAGAGUGGGGAAGAAGGCAAAGUGACAAAUGGAGGUGGUAGCUGCAAUGCAUGGUGUUCAUGUGAGCACCUCUCUAGUCUCAACUACCAAAAUGCUUGUAUCACAAACAAACAAACAAAAAAAAAACAACAACAACAACUACCCUUCUCAUUCAUCAACUUUUGUGAGCUCCAAAACAAAUGUAGAAAUGAAAAGGACACAAUUAUGUAUCUCCAAGCAGAUAUUUAUAGCAGUCAUGUCUCAUUGUCCCACGAGCUUGGAAUUUACGGUAAAUGUGGGUACUCUUAGGACCAACCCUUCUUUUUUGGCUGUAUUGAGUGCAGCCAUGCAGGAGACACGAUUUUGUUUCGACCAUGCGGUUUGGAAUGUGACCGAUAAUCUGGGUGGUAGCCGAUUAUCACAAUAAAUGGAUGAACAAAUGGUCGCGAAUUUGUAUUAUAAAUGACGGAAGAUGAUGGGUUUAGAGCGGUGGUAGGUUUCAGCAAGUGUCCCAACAAACAGCGCCUCCAGAGGGGGAGGACAAAUAUAAAGCUUAUGAGCAUUUUCAAUUUUCAUUCGUGGAGCUAUGAAUAUUGACCUGAGGUUAAACCGUAAAAAAAGUCGAAGUGAGUAAAGUUGAAUUGGUUUACGAGUACUAAAGCAACGAAAAAACACACGAUAGUACACAACCAAUUCUUGUCUAGCGCAUAUAUAUGUACAGACUAUUGGCCGAAGUUAUCAACAGAGAAGCUAUCAAAUGAGGCUUGCUGCAAAAGUCUCAUGGCUACUGGAUGUUUCGCACUGCAGAUUUGCACCCCAUGUGCUCAAUGGUUCUGCUACACUAUAGAAAUCCAUAUCCACAGAAAAACUACCAUCAGGAGCAGGACCGACCCGCUCCCCGUCUUCCACCAAAAUCAAGCUCGACUCCUCAUUGACCGGGGCUGCAUCAUCACUUUCCUUCACACAAGAUGCUUCAGUCCUUGAUUCCGGCGAUUCAGACAAAAGGGCUGCAAGAGAACAAGUGCCAUUACAACUUUCAAGAGAAGUAAAUUUCACAUCCAACACUGGAAUUUCAAAAUCCACCACAGAAGAAGCACGUGAGAAUUCAAGGAUAUUCUUCAAAACAUCUUUGUCAGAAUUCUCUCCUUUCUCUUCCUUUGCAGGUCUGUCAGAAUUCUCUUCUGUCACUUCCUCUGUGUUAGUAUCUUCCUGAGUAUUGUUAAAUCCAUCAUCUGUCUCAUCUUGAGGCAACCCGUUUGGAAUAUCUGUUUUAUCAGGGCUGGCAAUAUUGCUAAUCUCAGUGAUGACUACUCCCUUCUCAAUCUCUUCUGUUGUCUCACAGAUAUCAGUUCGAGCCAUGCCAUGAUCAACUGCAUUCUCACUGCUCUUACCAUCUGGUUUGUCUUCUCCUGUGACCUCAUGAUGCUCUUGCUGCACACUAAUUCCCUCUGGUUUAACAGGGUGCUCAUCAUUAAAUCUUUCAUCAUUCUCCUCAGUAUAUGAAGAAAUUCUGGAUGAAUGAGCUCGUGAAUCUUUCACAUUCUGUAUCCCAUCAGAUUCAUCAUAGCACAUGGAUGGCCCUGUCCCUAGUUCUUCAACUCCCACUGAAGCUUUUGUGUCAGGGCUACCAUCUUCUUCAUUUAAAAAUUCUGGAGCUUUAACGGAAAAAGGUUGACUACACUUCGGAGCGUGAUUAGAAGUCAGAGACAAGAACCCAGCUAGUGCAGAUGCUAGGGCAUCAUCAAUUGUCAAAGCAGGCCUUGGUGUAUUCUUUGAAGGAGUUAUCACUAGACUUGAUGAUUGAUCUUCUUCAUCCUCAUCAUCACUUGAAAAUUCAGGAGCAGUUACUACUAGACCUGGGACCAACUUUGAAGGAAAUACUGAAUCAGACAUGUAAUAAGGUGUGGUAGAGAGUGCCUCAGAUUGAGCGUCCUUGUUACCUGAUAUUACUGCCUCACAACUGGGAUAGUCAUUUCCACUGUUGCAGAAGGAGUUGGAAUCAGACUCAAUGCAUGAGAAAGAAGGAGCAUAGAAUCUUGAGCACGUUGACAAUCUAGAAUUCUGUGAUUGUUUGCUGAGUACUUCAAGUUGCUGCUCAACCCUCUCAAGCCUUGCCUCAAUGCUGCUUAUGGGCUUUACCAUUUUGUCUUCAAAUCUCAAUAAUAGAUCCUCUAUUCUGCCCAUUCGAGAAAAAAGCAGGUCCAUAGAUCUUUCAACAUGGUGAUUUCCAGUAUCAGUUUCACUUUCUGUAACAGGAACCCCUACAGGGAUCUGUGAUGGGGUGCUACCAAAUGUAUCCCUACUCGCAUCCUGACACAAUACUUCUUGAUGCUCGGAUAUGCUGGGUUUAAUAUCUGUCUGGAACUUAGUCGCAACACUGGUAGAAUCAGAGGCUUUUGACCUAAUCAUUUGGGAGUCUUGGGUUUGGUUAACACUCCUUGUUUUAGAUAACUGCAAGAGGGUAGGCAUAAACAUGGCCAUGAGAGAACUUCCAGCUGAGUUUUCCACUGUACUCGUUUCCUUUUCCAAAUCCGCUGAAUCAUCAGGAUCAGCAAACACAUAAAUCUCAUCAACAUAAACACAAUCUUUCCUCUCAAGUGACAGUAGACGAAGUGUUAAGGAUAUACAAGGAUUUACAUCACUCAUCUGUGCUGUGGCUUCAUAAAAAGCCUGAAAAAUUGUACAGUGGUCAGCAUUAAUAAUAACAAAUAUACAUCAGUGCUUUCAUAAACCAGUCACUCAUAACUCAUAACCCACUUAUCAAAUAAAACUUCUCCCCAUUCCCCCGGCCUCUGCCUCUCUCUGUAAACAAAUUGCAGAAGGGGGACUACAUGUGAUAGGAAGCAGCCAAGAUAUAUUCAGAUGUUGGCAACUUGAAACAUAAAUUGGCUGAAAAUUGCAAUAAGCUAAUCUUUAAAUUCGGUGGUUUGGACUCAUUUAUCAAAUUAAGAUCCGCAAUAAAACAGGGUAGAGUCUAGAUUGCUACGUCAAAACUGAUAAACCUGAUUACAAUUUUUAUUGUAAAGGGAGGAUGGACCAAGACUCGAUACAAGUGGCUGAAAGAAUGAGGAGGGGGACCAUCAUACCUGUUCAGAACCAGAAUUCAAUGGCAAGGAGCUGAUUUUUUUAUCAAGCACAUGACCAUCUGGGACUUUCACUUCAACCCAGUCAUCUUCACUGGUACUCAAGUUAUUGCCAUUUCUUAGGUUUUCUUCAGAUACCUCCUUAAGAGACCCAUUUGAAUUUGCAGAAUGAACUUCUUCAUUAUUAGCUGUGUGAAGCACUUCUUCAUCUCUGGCAGCAAUUCCACAGCGAACAGUACAUAGAUAUUCGUUGUCACUUUGUGAAUCAGGUGCAUAGUAUACCUCAUAGACUCGGGCAGUACUCCGAACAUAAAUCUGCUGGACCUCAUGCUUUUGUGUGAAAUUAACUGCAAGACAAGAAAUUGUUGGUCAUUUGUAAAGAGGAACACAAGUAUUGAUUCUCUUCUACUUUAACUGCAAGGCAAGAAAUUUUUGGUCAUUUGUAUAUAGGAACACAAGUAUUGAUUCUCUUCUACUUUGACCAUUCCAGUGAUCUUCACAUGGACAAUGAUGCAUUUGGUACAAUGAGGAUGUUGAGAAGUUCUACUUAAGCCUGUGGCUUAUGAAUGCAAGGGGACACACAUUUGCAGAAGUAAAAUAAUCUAUAGCGCCUUGUUAUCCGCACAAGAAUCAUCUAUAGUAACAAAAUAGCAUUACAGAGUGUUGUGAUUAAAAUGUUUGUAGCAUGUACUAGGUGAUGAACUCUUUCGAUCAUAGGACAACCAUGUUAACACAAUAAGUCCCAAGUUCAAAUCUACUUUGAAAGUUCAAAUAUAAGCAAUUUCAAUAGUAUUGACUCUCUUUGACUUUCAAAGUGCACGAUCACAUACAAAAUAACUUAAUAAUCCUUUUCCUCUUUUCCAUAACAUACAUGAACAUGUCAUGGUCAUCAAUUGAUGACAUUCAUUCAAGAAUCAAAUACCACUUUCUUACUAACUUUUGAAUAAGAUUGAAUCAUAUUUGAAUGGCUUUUUAACAAAGCAAACAACUAAGUCAUAUGGGAGUGUCUUUGACACCACCCCACAAUAUCUUAGGCACUAAUGGACAUUGUUCAUACUUUCAACAAAUCAAAACUUCUCUUUCCAUAAGUCACAUCAGAUAUUCUUAGUUGAACUUCUCUUUGACACUAGUCCACACACGAUCUCACCUAUCUCUUUAGGCACUAACCAACAUUGUUCAUACUCUGAACAAAUCAAAACUUCUCUUUCUAUAAGUCGCAUCAGAUAUUCUUAGUUGAACUUCAACAAUCUCCUCCUCAUUUGAAGUCCAGUUUACCAUUCCCAUUAACGGCAUCCAGAAAAUCUUAUUCCUAUAUAAUACAGAAAAACUGAACAUAUAUAUCUAACGAGACUCUCUUUUUGGGAUCACCUAUAACAACUUGAGUAAAAGAAAUGUGCCUCUAAUGGUCGAAACUAGGUCCUUAAUCCAACUAUAUAGACUAUGUCGCCAAAUUAGUGGUCCUUCAUCCUCAAUAGUAUACUUGAUAGCUUCAAAACCCUACCUUACAAAAAAGCCACCUUAAUUUCACAAUAAGAAAUUCAACACAAGCUGGAAAACACAUAACAAUACUAAUAAAUUUUCCGAUACCAAUUUCAGGUAUGACCUAAAUUGAAUUUCAUUUAUGAAUUCCAACUAGGUCUAUUUUUCCAACUGGAUUCAGCUCUCAAUUUGAACUAGAUUCGAGCAAUAAAGCAACUAGGGGAUCAAAACUCAAAUCAAUUUUGCUGUGGAAAAUGUGAAUCUAUCAGAGAAGCUUGGAAGUAGUGAAACAUACUGGUGAUCUCGCAAGGUCCAGAAUCUGGUGACGGAGGGCGAAGAAUAAGGGAGGAUCCGGCCGUGGAAUUUGGAGCGUCGCCGUCGAUCGGAGACAAGGAGGACUCGAAGGUGACGCGAUCUACGAGAGCGCCACCGGCGACGGACCAAUUAGUAUCGGAGCUCCAUGAAGAGACGUCGUCGUUUUGUGUUUCCAUGGUGGUGGUGUGUUUGGGUUUUCAGAGAUUAGAGAGAGGAAAAGAGAGCUGCUGCUGAUCAGAGUGUGAGGGGUAAACUCGGUAAUCUAAUUUAUUUGUUUCCGUGCACACCUGUGCUGUUUGUCCACACGUUUGUUUUUUUUUUUUUUUUUUGUAAAUGUGUCCAUUUGGCUUUAGGGUUUGUUCUCUUGAUGCUUCAAUUGUUUUCUUUGGACUCAAAAUUAGGGGUAGGAUGUCACGAAGCAACAGAACGAGGUUUCGAAGCUUAAAAACGAGAUUUGUGUAUUUUUUUUUUUUUNUUUUUUUUUGACAAGCUGAAUAAUUCAUUAAAGAGGCAGAAAGCCCAAACGAUAUAUCACAAUAGUAUAAAGCAUAUGUUCUCCAGCACAAACCAGGCAAUGGUAGUGAGAGGAGAUAACAGAGCUAAAAACAAAAAAACAAAAAACAGUAGGAAACACAAUGCUUCCUCUAGAUUACAACAUCAUGAGGGCAUGGAAGCCCAUCAUUUCUCAAAACCAUAGUGAGAGACGGUAGGGGAGUCUCCGACCAGAUGCAGAGGCCCAACGCCUGUUUUCCAAGCUGUGCUGCUGUGUGAGCAGCAGAAUUAGCUUCUCGCGGUAUCCACCUCCAGUGAACCCGAUCAAAAAACCUGCUCUUCCAUUUGAUUUCUUCAACAAUCAGAUUAGUUCUCCAAUUAUUGCACGUGGCAAUAGAAUUUAGAUCUGAGAUGACUGAUUGUGAAUCAGAUUGAACUUGGACUGCUUUCAAAUUCAUGUCAACGGCGAGAUUGACGCUGGCAAGAAUGGCUAGCGCUUCCACUGCCUCUACAGAGCUAGCGCGGACCGGGGAAGCAAGACCACCCAUAAAUGACCCCAGGUGGUUUCUAAUCACCACACCUUUGCCCCCCAAUCCAGAAAUAUCCCAACUCCCAUCACAAUUGAUAGCAAUCAUGUCCAUUGGAGGUGGAAUCCAGUUCAAAAUUUGUUCAGACAUAGGAGAUUCAGCAGUAGGAUUUGUCGAUGUCGUGAACUCAGAAGCCGCCUCCCAACCAAGCUGAAUAACAAUGGUCGGAGAAAUAGGGAUGUGUUGGUACACAAAUCGGCAUCAAGCCUUCCAGAUCGACCAGGUGAAGAAACUUACCAAGGUAAGAACCCAUUGACGAACCUUCUUGCUACUGAAUUUCUUAAUCACUUGUAAUAACCAAGUAUCGAGUGUAGUGAAUGAUUGUUUGUCAAUCUUCAAUCCAAGAGGGGAACCGAACCAUACAAGGUCAACCCAUGGACACAUAAAUAUUGCAUGCUCAAAAGACUACUCAAAAACACCACACACAGGGCACAACAGAGAUUUGAUAAUCUUUCUCCGAUAGAGACUAAGAUAAGUAGGAGUAGAUGCAUUCAAGGCUUUCCAAAAGAAUUGCCUAAUCUUUGGGAGCGUAGGCAGUUUCCAUAUUAACUUCCAGCAACUAGUAUCAAUGGUGUGGGAAGACCCAUAUUUACUGAUAGGAGCAGUUGACUGCAUAUGGUGGUACCAGUGAUAAGCUGACUUGACAGUAAAAGUACCAUGCUUAGUUAAUGGCCAUAUUCGACGGUCAGGGUCCUCCCUCCUGCCAAUAGGAAUGGAUAGAAUACGAUUCAAGUCUGCUUGCUGGAUUAGAUGACUGAUGUUUCCUAGAUGCCAAGAUCGAGUAUCCCAAUCAAUAAUCUCUUCAACCAUGAUAGGAGCAUGACUCGGAAUAAGUCCAGUUGUAUGGAUUGGGCGAACCGGAUCGUUUAAGUCAGUCGGCGGAAGCCAACAGUCAGUCCAUAUGUUUACCAUAACUCCUGAAACAAUCUGCUAGUAGUUAUUCUUUGUGAUAAAAUCUCUAGCUUCAAGUAGGCUCGACCAUCCCCAAGAGGCCCUAUAGCAAAGCAACAAUUGGGAUAAUAUCUUCCUUUUAAGACCCUAGCCCAUAAAGAGUUCGGAUCAUUGGUUAGUCUCCAAGCUUGCUUAGCAAUCAAUGCAAGAUUAAACUCAUGCAGGUCCCUAAAACCCAUUCCUCCUUUCUCUUUAGGUAAACCCAGAAAUUGCCAACUUUUCCAGUGGAUGUUGUUCCCAGUCCCAUUAGACCCCCACCAAAAAUUCCCUAAUGCAGCAUUUAAAUCAUCACAAAUAUCUUUAGGAAAUCUGAAACAUGACAUGGGGAAGGAGGGAAUAGCAAGAGCCACAGACUUGAUAAGAACCUCCUUGCCAGCUUGAGUCAAUACCUUUUCUUUCCACCCAUCCAUCUUGUUCGCCACCUUCUCUUUGAUGUAAGCUAAAGCCCCAUUUUUUGACCUUCCCCAAAAAGUUGGGAGCCCCAGAUAUACUCCCGGUUGAUCAGUGCAAGUGAUACCCAAUAACAAGCUCAUAAGAUGCUUCACCUGAUCAGAGGUAUUAGGAGUAAAAUAAAUAUUCGAUUUUUCAAGACUAAUAAGUUGAUCAGAAGCCAAACAAUACUCUUUGAAUAUCAUAGAUAUCUUGGAACAGUUGAGGAGGGUGGCCUUCAUGAAAAAUAGUGAAUCAUCAGCAAAACAUAGGUGGGACAAUGGGGGACACUUACAGGCAAGUCUCACAGUAAGUAAACUCCUCUCAUCAACAGCUUUGGUAAUACGAAGAGAAAGAACCUCACUAACCAAAAGAAAUAAGUAAGGAGAGAGAGGGUCUCCUUGCCUCAACCCUCUACUCGGACAGAAAGUACUCCCAAGACAGCCAUUAAGAACGAUAGAAAAGGACACUGUAGUCACACAUGCCAUAAUUAGGUUCACCCAACCAUUAGCAAAACCAAACCUACGAAGAGUAGCUUCAAGAAAAUCCCACUCAACCCUAUCAUAAGCUUUAUUCAUGUCAAGUUUUAAACCGAACUCAUGGCUCUCCCCAUCCUUCUUCAACCUGAGAUAAUGAAACACCUCAUGGGCUAGCAUAAUAUUAUCCUGGAUGAGACGAUCCGGGACAAAAGCAUUUUGGUUGGGAGAUAUAAUAAGGGAAAGAAUAGGUUUAAGUCGACUGGCUAAGAGUUUGGACAAGAUUUUAUAGGAGUUGUUGCAAAGACUGAUUGGUCUGAAGUGGGAAGUUCUUUCUGGGUUUGGGAUUUUUGGGAUUAAAACAAUAUGUGUUUGGUUAAUGCUCCUAAGACUCACCUUCCCAACAAGGAAAUCAGAAGAAGUAGUCCUUAUGAUCUCAUUAACAAUUCCCCAAUACUUAUGAUAGAAGAGGCCUGGAAAUCCGUCUGGCCCUGGAGCUUUCAACGCUCCCAACUGAAAAGCUGCGUCUCUAACUUCAUCAUAAGUGAAAGGCCGGCCGAGAUCAUUAUUCAUCUCAUCAGUAAUAACAGGGGCAACUCCCCUCAAAGCAUCCCCCCAAUCCCUUAAACCACUACUGGUAAAAGUCUGUUGGAAUUGAUUCUCAAACUCCAAUCUAAUAAACUUCUCCCCAACAAUCCACUGAUCAGUAUCAUUCUGGAUCUUAAGUAUCCGGUUCCUUUGUCUCCGAUGAAGAGUAGAUAAGUGGAAGAAACAAGUAUUGGAAUCACCCGCCGAGAGCCAACGGAUUCUAGAUCUUUGACGCCAGUAUUUCUCCUCCCUCAGCCAAAGAGUACCCAACCGGUUAGUGAGAUCUAAUUGGGUAGAGGAAAAACCAUAUGGAUCAGUACCUUGUAACUCUUCAAGUUGAAAGAGACACUCUUUGAUCUCAUGUUUGUUACAGAUAGGGAAUCUUUCUUUACUCCAUAAACGGAGUUUUUUUUUACAAGAGGAGAGAUUUGCUUUCCAUUGAACAAGGCUAGUCAAGUAAGUCUGUGGCUUCCAUCAUUCUUCAAUAAUCUGUUUGGACUCACUCUCAUCAGCCCAACCCGCUUCAAACCGAAAGAUGUGACUCCUUUUAUCACAAGGAAGUUCCGUAGAUAGAAGUAAAGGAUUAUGGUCGGACCCAACCCUCGCCAAAUGAGUAAGGUGGGUAUUGGGCCAGUGCAUAAUCCAACAUUCAUUUAAAAGACUACGGUCCAACCUCUCUUGUAGAACCACAAUUCCAUCUUCUUUACGAGCCCAUGUGAAACUCGAUCCCUUAUACCCAAUAUCAAGCAAGGAAUUGGAAGAAAUAAGAUUCCUUAGGUAAUUUCUGCUACCAGGUAACCAACAAGAUCCCAUUUCCCUCUCAAAUGAGCUAAUAAUCUCAUUUAGAUCACCAAUAAUUAACCAAGGAAUGCUAACAUUGUGAUUAGUAUUGUACCACUUUUCCCAAAAAUGCAGCCUUGUCCUCACCAUAGGGUGGGCUGUACAUCCAAGUAACUCGAAAGGGAGUAGCUGAUCCAGGGGAAGUAAUCAAAGUAUCAAUGAAAAAUUUUGAGUAACCAACUACCUCAACCUUGUAGUUUGGUCUCCACCAUAGACUCAAACCGCCCGCUGUGUUUAUAGGAGAAACAUGGUAGCCUUUGCUGAAACCCAGUUGUCUGCGCACCUUAUUCACAUAAUUAUCAUUCUUGUGAGUUUCCGAGAGAAAAACAAAACUCAAAUCAUGGGAACGAGUUAUCUCUCUUAGAGUUUGGAUUGUCAAGGACUUCCCUAAACCUUGACAGUUCCAAGAGAUGAAAUUCAUUGAUCACUUGCGACUGAUUUUGGCCAGCCGCCACGACCAUGAGGGUGGGUAAAAUCCCCCGUACCUGUCACUUUAGAACUCUCUCUAUCAAUAACCAAACCAGCACCAUCGACUGCUUGAGAGAUUGUCACAAAUUCAGUUCCCAAUAGUGAUUCACCGCAAACAAAAGUAGAUCUCCCCCUACCGCGGCCCCUCCGUCCACGACCCCGUCCUCGCCCCACAGAAGAGGAGAGGCGAAGGCUAGGUCCAUUCGUAAGCUUUGGGCGUUUGGAAUUGCUCUUGUUUUCCUCUACCUCCUCCAUAGUCUUCUUGGGUUUCCUCUUUCUUUUUGUAGACCCGCUUUCUAGAACCACAAGUAUCUCCUCUUUUUCAAUCAAAGCUGGCUGAUCAAUCUCAAGUAGUCGCACAGUAGUGAGCUUUGUGCAUCCACCAACAAACCCAUCAUAAUAAUCUGCCUUGUUUUUGAAAGCCCAUGGUGGUAUACACUCUGGGUCAGCCCAUUGACCAUCAUGCAAGCUCAGCCCACCCAAUGCCCUAGUCACACUCCCAUUUUGAAACAGUGCACCAUGUGCAUCCGGAUCCCAAUAGUAAUGCCCAAGUGGAUUGCGCGAAAGCUUUGAUCGAGCUGGUGAUAUGGUCUUCUCCUUUAAAGGAGGCACCCUGUCAGAAAUCCCAUCCCACACAGAAGUUGAGCCGUGAGCCCGAAGUGACUCCUCCAUUGUAUCCUGCCAUCCAGCACCCUGCCCUUCAAUACACCAUGGUUGCCUAGUGGGUAUAGGAGGCACCCUGUCAGAAAUCCCAUCCCACACAGAAGUUGAGCCGUGUGCCCGAUGUGACUCCUCCAUUGUACCCUGCCAUCCAGCACCCUGCCCUUCAAUACCCUGAUCCUUUUUCAAAUUCCGACCAAAGUUUCCGGUUGAAUAAGGAAACUCUGGUGGAAAAUUAGACUGGGUAUAAACUGGUCGCUAUGGAGGCUUUGCAAUAAGACGAUGGUCAUACUUCACCCCCAUCUCUAUCAGUUUUGCAUUUAUUUCUAUCUUCUUUUUUAUACGAAAAACACGGUUUUUUUUUUUGCCACAGAUUAUUGAAUGUUAAAACGAAAUGUUGCAGCUAUUGGCAAGAUGAUAUAUAUGAAGCUAUAUAUGCCAAGAUGAUUGACUGCAGGUUUGCAGCUAUUGGACGUUUAAUGAAGUUUAAAUUGGCCAACAAAAGAAAUAGAAAAAUUUCAAAGUCCUCGUGUUCUCUAGAGUCAUGCUCCAAAGCGUUUAUGUUAUAUAUUAAGUCCCAAAGCUUCUAUCAUAUUGAGGCUUCAAUUCGACAGGAUGUUCAGACUCGUUGUCCACUUUUACAGGAUUACCGGAAUGUUUACCAAGUAUGCGUUCCUAGUGUUCAUCAGAUCACUCAUGAAUGAUUGAUUUCCUAAUUGUAUAUAUGGAACAGAUGAAACAAGUUGGCCUCACUGUAGAAGGAUUAGGAAGCCUUUAUGCACCCUAAUCCUUAAAGCCGAUAAAUCUUGAUCCCUCUGCUCUAACAAUCAUCAUAAGCACUCAAGUGAGAUUGGCUUUCGUCGAUUGUCAGAGGAGAAGAUCAAGCAUGUUUUACUCGGGUUAGUAUUUCUACUCUUGUAUAUACAUCGUACGUGUAUAUAUGUAUUCUUGUCUAGGGGUACAACUUAUAAUCAGGGGCGGAGGCAGUGCAGAGGUUGGUGGGGCUCAAGCCCAACCAAGGUUUUUGGGAUUGAAAAAAAAACUAAGUGUAUUAUGUUUUUUUAUUGGAUAUAUAUCUUUUUUGUGCAUUCAAGCCCACCUAAUUCCGUACUUUUACGCAUCUCAUCUUCCUCUGUAUGCGACUAUAUCUCUACUCUUCAAUUUUUCUUUUUAUCCUUCUAGUUUUCUAGUCUUAUCCUGCUUAAAUCUCUAAAGUUCAUUGAAUAUAAAUUUUCUAAUCUUCUUUUUCCUAUAUAGAAUCCGAUGAAAUAUUGGAUUUCAAUCUAUUCUUAUUGGGUUUUCUAAUUUGUCUCUUAUUUUUUAAAUUUUCUUCUACUUUCAUUGACGCCUAUUUUUAUUUCUUUCAAAGACUCGUAAUUGACGUAUGCUUGAGCUCCUACACUUUGCAUGGGUAUACAACAAAAAUUUUUUUGCCCUUUGGCCAAAUUUGAAGCCCACCCCAUGUUUAAAUCCUGGAUCCGCCACUGCUUAUAAUUGCGUAUUUGUGUUUCUUUAUCAUCUUAUAAUCUUCCCUGACGAAUACUCUCUGCUUCUUGGCCUCCAAGGCAUCCUUGAGUGUCUACUUUUGUUCUUCAAAUUCAGAGAUCGCCUUCUAUAUGAACCCUGAGUUCUUCUUGUAGUUCUUUUAUUGUCCGCUCGUUGAACCUAGCUCCAUAUAUCUUUCUCUCUCUAUCUCUUUCCAGAGCUGUCCCUUUAAUUUGGAGUCGGCAUUGAGAAAUUAAGCUGACAGAUGCAGUACCACCGGUUGUUAAUAUGCAAUGCAUAAUAAUGAUAUCUCUUAGUACUUUAGUAGUAUAACAGAUUGAAUACAAUAGUAAUAAUAGUGCAAACCUUCUCCUUGAGCUUCAAAACCUUUUCGUCAUCCAUGGUUCCUGCCUCAUCUCUUGACAUCUCUUGAAUUCGAUCCCCUAUAUAUUUUCAACAAAUCCCUAACUAAACCUUGAUCCAAAUGCCUGCAGGUUGAACAGAAGAACGAAACCCUAGCUGGCUAGCCUGAUCGAACUUGAUCCAAAUUCCAAUAAGACGCUGAAUCAAAUCUCAGUUGUGAACGAACCUGGCAUUAUUGGAAAAGUUUCUACUCCUUGGCAUUCAGAUGGUUCAUGAUGAUAUGAUUCAUCUUUUCAAGCCUUUCUAAUUAACCUCAAACAUAUACGGAGAUGUCAUAUCCAAGAAUAAAAAAAAUUCAGCAGCUGGCUUCCAUAGCAUAGUGGUAGUGCGUUCGCUUCGUAAGCGAAAGGUCGCGAGUUCGAUCCUCGCUGGGAGCUAGUGAUGUCUAUAUUUUUGCAGCUGAUCGGUGUACUUGUUUGAAAUUUUUGCAAGGAUAGAAGGAUGACCUUGACAUGAAUCUGCUCACAAGAUCGACCACAUUGUACAAUGGAAAGGACAAUAUAUAUUAUAUAUGGAGGGUUAAGAGGCCGGAAAUUAAUUGGUUGCAAGCAAUAUUUCAUUUUUAGUAGAAAAAUUUUACCUCAGUCCAAAUGUGCAAUUUAAAUAACAUACGUGCGAUAUCAUCAAUCGGAGCUGCUGCAUGUUUUUCUACUAAUUUAACAAUCAUGGUUAGAUAGAUUAAAUUCAUGUGACAAAUCAAUUUGGAGCUGCUGCAACAAACUUCCUUUUUGUUGGAAAAACAAAUAAAAUUAUUUCAAAAGAUUUUCUUUUAAACUUCAAAUUGAUUUCGGUCCGCAUUUUGAAUUGAUCUCCAAAUUGAUUAUGAUGAAUAUAAGAAAUCCAACGCUAUGCACCUGAUAGAUGUAGCGCAGCAGCGCUUGGAUGAGGGAAAGAAGAGAUUGUCUGAUAAUGAGUCAGAAAUCAAUAGGCUGUGCAAAAGUCGCGUAUUGUGAUGUAUUAAGCUCAAGUUCAUGAGUCUGUAAAAGCUGUCUUUUACUCUUCCUCUCAUUGGACAUGUUUCUCAUCAUUUAUGAGGAUCAAGUUCAAGAAUGUGGUUAAUUUAGCUGACUUUCUUAUUUUUGUUGGUGAAGCUUUGUAUCCAGGUGGACAAGAUGGACACAAAACGCGAAAGAGACGAUGAAGUCUCGAUAGGGACCGAACAUCAAGAUGAUGAAGACCUGCUCGAACCAUUGUUGGCUCCACUCAAAACAUUUGAGUUUUGUGUGCUUGUUUUCUUUCACAUUUAAGAUUCGAGGUUGUUUCUUAUGUUUCUAAGACACUGCUUAAUGCUCAAAUUUGUGUGGUCAAAAAUAUAUAAUCCAUCUCAUUAGAUAAAUCUAAACUCAUUUAAUGACCGUAUCAAAACUGUUCUAAAUGGAAAAAACAAAAAAUCUUGUCAAAAGUAUCAACUUAAGGUAAGAUUAUGAGCAAUCCAGAAGUCAAGGACUAAAAAAGGGAUCAAAUUAAAUCCCAUUUUUCCCUAAAACAACAUACUCGGAGGCCUUCUCAGUAUAGAUGUAGUGGACAAACUGUUUGUCACCCCGUCUGAAUUUUUUCAAGAUGGACAAAUCUGCCUUACAAAACUGUAACUACGACUAUGCAUCAACACAUUUGAGUAUAUUGUUACAUCGGAUCAAUAGGUUCAAUUCCAAGAGUAAAAACAAUAUGCUUCAACCUGACACUACAGAUUGCCACUAAAGUACAGAUUUGACAGACUAAGCAUAUUGUAGCUCUUGUUCCCUUAACUCAUAUGGCGGAGGCAAUAACGUAUGUAUGUUUGCAAAAGGGUCCUUACUACCAAGUGGUGGCGCUCUGACAGGUGCAUCCAAAACAAAGUCUGGAAUUGCUACAAGUGUUUCCUCAAAAAAUGAUUUCAUAGUCUGCAAGGUUCAACCAGCUGUUAGAAAUAGGUGUCCUAGGAAGAUCAGAGAAUAAGACAAGCACUCGAAAAAUAAUCUCCUCAACUUCACAUAAUUUUCAGUUUGGAGACCGAUAAUAAUAUGUAACAAAUAUACCUUGCAAUGCAUGAAAGCAGCAUCAGCUUUACGUUUCCAAAGGCUAUUCCCAGGCUGAGCAUAGAAAAGGCUAAGCAAAGGCUGCAGCAGAACAAAAACAAGGUAAUGAAUCGCAUAAUGGAAUAAAAACUUGGGUCUUAUAAAAAAAAUUAGCUUAAGAUCGUCUGUCCUAUUGGAUUUCACACCAUGCCCGAACUGCAAAGACAUUGUGUGAUAUUUUACGGUUGAACAGAUCCACAACCACAACCGUAUAAAAAAAUUAGCUUAAGAUCGUCUGUCCUAUUGCAUUUCACACCAUGCCCGAACUGCAAAGACAUUGUGUGAUAUUUUACGGUUGAACAAAUCCACAACCACAACCCGAGUGGUUGACCCUAAAGUAACAACUAUCACCCAACCAAACAAUUAGAUUGAGUCAUGGUAGUACACUAGUACCGUUGUACCAAUAGUGAUAGAUCACCCAUGAAAUGGCUACUAUUGUAGAAACAUCUGUCAUAAUACAUAUAAACCUCUUCACUCAUAAAAACCAAUGCAAUGCAGCCCUCAGAUGAGGGUGAUAUCACGAUAUCGUGAUGUGAGACGCGUGGCAAGACCAAAGAAACACAUGCAACUGAAUCAAAAUGAGAAUAGUGAGGAUGACAGUUCACAGUACAUGCAUAAAAUAAAUGAGAGUAGAACUGAAAUAAACAAGUAGAAAUACUAACCUUUGCCACAUCUCGAACAUUGGGCUUUAGUCCAUAUUUUCCCAAAACAGUCUCUCCAUAAGCUUCAAACUCUUUCAGUAUCUAAAUGUGACCAGAGAAAAAAAAAAAAGGAAAAAAAGUAAGAGCUGCAGCAUAAAAUUUAACAGAAAUUGAAUAGCCAACCAUCUCAUAGAAGAGUUUGCAACUGAACCUGGCGCCGUGUUACACCACUGCUUGGUGCACCAUAAAUAGCAGUAUCGACGUGUCCCAAAGUAUUCCAUGGGCUGUUGAAAAUGUACAAAAAUUGUCAGUCCAAUUUUCGUUUUGCACUGGACUACAAUUAAAUACACUUCGCAACUCAUUAAGUUUUGGAGAAAUUCAAUAGGGCAUAGUUGUUAUUCUUCAUUAGCUUUUUAGUAUUUUUUCAAUUCACCCAGAAGACAUGCAUUGGGUUAAAAGAUUGUGAACAGACUUUAAGUGAGGCAAAAAUAAUAGAAUAAAUUUUGUCAUUUGGAUUGGAAUCUUAGAGCAGGAAAGCUCAAGAAAACAUGUUUCAUUCUCCCCAGCAGACUCUGCAUUCUCAUAUUUCAUGGAAAUCAGCAAACAGCAUUUCAGACUUUCAAGUUAUACAGUGAACAUUAUGUACGUAUUCCCUUGUUUUGAUUGCAUGAAGUUCAUUAGGUUCUGAUCUGUUGUCGGUAAAAAGAAAACAAAAACAAUUUUUGAGACGGGGAAAGAUUACAUGUAAACCCAAACAUAGAAAUGAACAAAAACAGAUUAUGACAGUGGUGUUCACAUGGUCACCUACUGACCAAGGAAAUCAUGGUCAAUCACCGUUGGAUGUAAAUCCAAGGUUGGGAAGUAUUAUUUUUAAAGUUAAUUGUUUGUUUCCACCCUUGUAUUUACAUCCAACGGUGAUUGACCAUGAUUUCCUUGGUCACUAAGUGACCAUGUGAACACCACCGCAGAUUAUAAUACCAGAUAGUAUGAGGUCAAGACUUCAACCAAACAUAACCAAAUAAUAAGUGUACUGAAAGAACAAAACAAUCCAAAUCCGAAAAUUUCACCUACUUAUUAAAUGCAGCCCGUCCAACCAUUACCCCAUGAGCUCCUGCUUUCCUAGCUGCACUGACCUGAAAGCAAUGGAAAUAACAUGAGAAAAGAUUGAUUGUGAUCCAUAUUACGAUUCCUAUCACUAAAGAGAAACAUUAACAAAAUACCUGAAAGUCACAACUAAUAUAUACUCCCAAAUAAUAAUAACAGUAUAAUGACAGUAAGCAUCACAAUAGUAAACUUAGAAAAUGUUGUACUGUAUAAUUACAAGUAGAGAAAAAUGUUAAGAAAAUGCAAGUUUUGAAUAACCUUUCUCAGCAAUAAGGAAAUGUAAGCUCAGAGAGAACAGUCGAAGUUCCAACUGACUUUAUUUACCACUGAACUCAGGAAAUUCUUAAAAGAAAAAGAACAAUUUAAAAUAAAAGUUAAUGUGAUAUGGUUUACCUCAUCAAUAGUGUUUAUGCCACCAUUUAUUGUGAAUCUCAGAUCUGGAAAGUCACGCAAGAGGCCAUAAAAGUACUCGUAUCUGCAAAUAAAGUAAAUGCAAAGUGUGACUUACAGAUUUUUAUAUAUCUAAGAAUACUUACGAUACAUGUAGUUUCUUUUGGUCCUGUUAGGACAGUGGUAUUAAGUUAAGCAUACCGCGAACAUAAUUAUAAUAUCCAUACAUCAGUUAAGUUGCAUGCUAGUUCACAAUCAAUGGAUGUACACAACACAUACUUAAGAGGUGGAAUACUUCGAUUUUCAGCUGGGCUGAUUCCAUUCAGUAGUGCCUUCCGAGAAUGUAUAAUGAAGUGCCUAGUUGGUGAUUGAGAAGAAACUUUAUAAAUAAAAUCACCUGAAAAGAAUAUUAGGGUGGGACAACAGAGUGAGGAUGCAACUCCGGCAACAAAAGUAAACAUAGUUAAGUGCUUUUGCAUUCAGAGUAGCAACAAUGGUGAAAAUGCUGGUUAGAUAAAAGGUUUGGCCUCAAAACUAGAAGCCAUAGCCACCUUUUGGAAACAAUAUGGUGCAUGAGAUUUACACAGUUAUAAGUGCUCAGGCUUAACCAAUAGAUAAGUUUUCUAUGUUUAUCGACAAUCCGCACAUAUUUAACAAUUAAGGGUGCAAAGACCGGGCAAGAAAAUAUUGCAAUCUGUUGCUGAUGUAUAAGUAAUAAAGUUUAUUUGACUUAUUGCAAUCUGUUGCUGAUGUAUAAUUAAUAAAGUUUAUUUGACUUUUUGUAGAUAAAAUUUCAAUCUGUUGUCUCUGUUAACUUUUACAACAAAGCUACAACUCAUUUACUACUAUUGUUAGUAAGAGCUCACAUAUACCUAACAGACUAGCACUUUUUCCCAUACCGAGAGGCUUCUGAUAGGUUUGAAUUUUAGUCAAGACGAUCCUUGCAUGGAACCCCAUAUGUGGACCGCUUCAAUUGAAGGGGAUCUUACUUUAGUAGUUGUUCCUCAAUAUAUGUGUGUGUAUUAUGUAUUACCUAAUGCUAGUUUCAGUUUAUUGUUCACAUGCUGUUUUAAUUAUAUAUAUUUUUCAUUUGUUUACAUAUGAUAUAUGGGUAUAAUGUCAAGACUUGAAAAUUAUAAACAAAAUUCAACAUAAAUGGACCUUACAGAGCUCAUUAUAUGAGUCGUGAUCAUCAACACCAAUUCGACACUUAACACUGACAGGGACAUCUGUGUUCGCAGCAAUCACUGACAUAGCCUCGGCAACAAACUUUCCUUGUAAAGAACAAAUGUCUUUAUCAGAGCACACUACAAAGAAAACACUACGGUGCUUCUCUUGCAAUUAACGAUGUAAUAAGCAAAUUUAUCGAACCUUUGGAUCCAGCAUAAGACGAGCACCAAAGCACCCAUGUCCAGCUACUCUUGGACUGGGACAUCCACAACUGAUUAAACAUAGAGUUAGCGAAGUCAUAUUUGUAAGAAAUAAAACAGAUUAUAGUGAACCAAAAGAUAGAAAUUAGUAAGAGUGCUCACUUAAAAUUGAUCUCAUCAUAUUUGUAAAUAUUAGCAAGUUGAGUAGCUUUGGCCAGGUUCUCUAAAUUACUGCCACCUAUUUGUAGAACAAUAGGAUGUUGUUCUGGAGGAAAGUACAAGAAUCUGUCCUGAACAAUUAAAAAAAAAUGCCGUCAGUUGUCCCUGUCCCAGCCAACAGAUAUAAUUUAUCGGAUUCUAGUUUAAUCUGCAUUCUAGUCUGUAACUUUCAGGAAAUAAUGCAUUUACUAUAAUGAAGAUACGGAAACAAGGGAAAAGAAAGGGAGCGCCUCCUUUCUUCUGUGAUAGUCCCUAUAUACACAACUAGAUACAAAGGCACUAAACUCAAAAAGGAAAUAUGAAAAUCGAACUAUACAAAGUUAAUCAAAACAGCAGCCUUCACACCAGCCGAUGCACUUGCAAAAAAUACUUAACAGCUCAUUGAACCCCUUUGGCAAGACCCAACUUGCACAGAAAUUGUUGAAAAUGUUCCACCAGACUUAAAUUGGAAAUGGCCAAUGAAGGAACCGAUUGUCAAGACACUCUUCCCAAUCCUUAAAUAGAAUUCACCAAUGAGGGUUAAGAUGAUGGAUUGGUAUAUGCUAUUGAAAAUUGUUUCAUGUAAUUUACUUUCCCAUGAGCCACCAAGAAAGCAAGCAACUGAACCAUAUAAGCAAUGUUGCCUUCCAAAACUGAUCAGCUGGAUCAAAUUGAAAGAACUCGGGGUUACCCUAACCGUAAACUGAAAGUUUCUGCAGUUUACCUAUAGGUGUUAAUAUGCUGCUCGAGUAGGAACAGGUCAGUAGGCUGGUUGGGGUGGGGGUGGGGUUCUAGUGACCAAAGCUAUCAGCUUUAAGCCUGCUGAAAAUCAUUAUAGAGAGGUUGUCAAUUGUAGCCAGAUAAGGCAAGUCAUCUCGAAACCGGGGAAUCGUGCAUAACCCUACAAUCUUUAGGAGGCAAGAAACUCUAGCAAACAGCUAGGUAGGUAACUUGAUGAGGUUCGAUCCGCAUAUCACAUGGGAGCCACAUACGGGAAUGACCCUUUAACAGCUAAAGUCUUAGUAAAAGUUGGGUUCUUUUUUAAUUCGUAAUCAACUCUAACUCCCUUCAUAUAUUGUGGUGUAGCAGAGGCACAGAGACAUCCCGCAUUGGAGAUCACUCUUUUGAGUCUUGUACCGAGUUUUAAACAGCCUUUUGUGUAAAAUUAUCUACAACCGGAUGCUAGCCAGGCCUCCUAUGAAGUUAACCUCUAGCCUUUUUCUUUGCAUUUUUUUUGGAAUAGGAGCGGCACCACACAAACAAUAAAUCGUUAUCUACGAAUGCUAAACUUGCUUGCCAAAGAAAUCGAAGCCUAUCACAAAAAUACCAGUGUCAGGUAGAUUACCAGAUUGUCCUUCUGAUAGACAAUAGUCUCGGCGGCAAGCAUCUCAGUGUAGAGCCAGGCGUGCUUGGAGAUGAGGCGAGCCAUAGUCCUGUAGUGAACAUCAGUCCAUUCCAUCAUAGGCGCCACGCUGCAAAACCACGACCCCAAACAAAUCAAAAUCAAAAUCAAACUCAAACCCUAGAAAUCGAAAUAGAAUAAAGGAACUGCAAAGUAACCUGAAAUAAGGAGGAAGAUAGUGGGCGUGGGUGUAGUUGCGAGCGGAAACCAUGGCGGGUCGUCGGUGGGCUGAAGAAGAAGAAGAGGCCUGAAAAAUAUUGAAUGAGAAUCUGCGACGGGUUUGAAGAAGCAGAAAAGGAGUGACGGAGGUUGGUGAAGAAUAUGAACAAGUUGCCAGCUUCAUUCUCUUUUUUUUUUUUUCUUCUUUCUUUCUUUUUGUGUGUGUGAGUGUGUGUGUGUGUGUAGUAAAAUAAUGAGAAAUCAGAAUUGGAUAAUGGAUACUCACAGCGAUGGCAGCCUUCUCCUCCUCCUCCUGCUGGUGGUGUCCGUUAACUCGGGGGAAGCUGAUUAUGAUAGGGCGUUCCUGGUCCGGGAUGAACUGGACUGGACUAUCUGAUAAGGCCCAAUGAUUUUACUUUUAGUGGUGAGUAAUAACCACGGUUCACCUGGUCAGUUAUUUAUUAAAUCAAUCAUGUUCAUUUAUCAUUUCAUGCAAAUUCAACUGUUGAAAGUAUAGUCAAUGUUUCGUGUUAGAAUUCGGGUUAGAGAAUGGUAAGUAUAAGUAUAGAAAUGGUUAAAGUGCAGUAAGAACACAGUAUGCACACAAAUGUCAAAGGCUUGGUGCAAAAACCCCAAUGAGGGAAAAUGCACCAAACAAGAUUAUUCCAUUAAUCUUCAAACAAUAAACACAAUGUGUACUUCUCACACAAUUACACAAUUUGAAUACAAUGCUCUCUUCUUACUUCUCACACAAGUAAUGCAGAUCAAGUAACCGUAACAAAGGAAACUGAAUUGCUAGACUGAGAUCUCACACACUCAUCUAUGCUAGUUCUCACACAACUAGAUUCUGCUACAGCUGAUUCUUACACAUAAUCAGUUUAUGCAGCAAUACUGAAACUAUAUCUCUUUCAGUUGGAAGUUUGACUGUUUCUUGUAAAGUCAAGAUUCCUUGGUUCUGAAUCACAACCAGUUUCUCCUCUUCCACCAAACCAGGUUUCAACAAUCUCAAAUGCAAUCCAUCUGCAAGUAAGAAGGAGAUACUUAGUUGAUAGGUAAACACACACAGGCAGUUUACAAUAUGAGUGUCAACAGAAAACAACUCAAGUGCCAUAUUUCUAAAUGCAGCAGAAGCAAUUUAUAGAGUAUGAAAUACUCCCCCUUAACUGAUGCCAUUCAAUGACCAGAUCAGAAUUCAUUUCAGAUAUGAAGCAAUCAUGUUACAUCUGUUAAGCACUUUCCAAAACUGAUAUACCAGUCUACUGCUAUAACAAAGUCAUUAAAAAUAUGCAAUUCAAUUUCCUGAUCAUGCUGAUGCCAAUGAUAAAGCACAUAGACAUACAAAACCAAAUAAGCAAGAGUUAUGCAGAUAACUAAUUCUAAUGAACUUGAUUUGGAAAAUCACCAAGUCAAAUAUCCUAAAAUAAUUAGAGAUCCUGCAAAUAAGCACUCUAAAGAACCUGAUACGGAAAAUCCUAAACAUAAGAUUUUUACUAGAAAACUUUCACUCAAGAUAAUUAACCAAUAAAGAGAUUAACUUACCAUAAACGAUCCAGUGAAAAACUCAUUACCUGUAACACUUGAGGUAAUACCUCUAAUUAUGCAGAUUUGUGAUCAACACUUGAACUUCCAGAUCGUAUAACAGUUUUUUCCUUUCUUCACUGGGAAUCCUUGUGUUGAAUAGGAUCUGCCAACAUGUCAACAGUAAAAACAGGCGGGUUUUGUGCGGUAGGUGGUGGAGGAAUGUAUGGAUGAGAUGAUCAUGAAUUCAUUAGAAGGUGAAAGAAAUUGAGGGAUAAACUCGAGAGCCGAAGAAAGAUGAACAUAUGGAUCGUGGUUGUUUUUAGUUAUAAUCUUGUGCUGAUAGUGUAUAUCCCACCUCUCCAACAAGGGUUUAUUUCCUAUCCUUACAAGAAUUAAAUAUCUAUUCUUAAUAUAAUCUGAACCACCAAACACUAGCUAAGAUAUUUUUCUGUCAUGUCCGGUUAUUAAUCCAAAAAAACAAGGGUCAAUUACAUAGAAGUCCACUUGGAGAUGUUUUCUCCCACAUAAGUCCACCUAAACAUUUUUACCCACAUAAAUCCACCCAAACCUAAAUAGAGUCUUAUAUUGGGUAUUAAAGAUCAAUAAAAUUACAGACUGCCAUCCAUCUAAAAAAAUUAGAUUUUCUCUCUUAUAUUUACAAAAAUGUCAUUAAUGUAAAAAGUCAACAACCACAAAUGGUCUCCGGCUGACCUCCAAAGAGGUCUCCGGCCGACUCCGACGAACUUUCCGGCCGACUUCUGACGAACUUUCCAGCCGACCAUCUGUGAGGAUUUUAGCGACCACAAAAGCUAUUACCACUGACAACAAAAGCUACUACCACCGACAAAGAAAGCUAUUGUCACUGAUAACAAAAGAUACUACCGAUAGCAAAAAGCCUACUGCUACCAGCAAAGAAAGCUACUACCGAUAGCAACAAAAGCUAUUACCGCCAACAAAGAAAGCUACUACCACUGAAAAAAAAAAAUACUACCGAUAGCAAAAAAAGCUACUGCCACCAGUAAAGAAAGCUACUACCGAUAGCAAUAAAAGCUACUACCAAUAGCAAAGAAAGCUACUACCAAUAGCAAAGAAAGCUACUACCGAUAACAACAAAAACUACUACAACCAGCAAAGAAAACUAGUAUCACUGACAACAAAAGAUACUACCGAUAGCAAAAAAAGCUACUGCCACAAGCAAAGAAAGCUACUACCGAUAGCAACAAAAGUUACUAUUGCUAGCAAAGAAAGCUACUACCGCCACCAACAAUAAAAACUACCGUCAACAACAAAAGAUACUACCGCCAAUAGCCAAAGCUACUACCGCCACUAACAAAAGCUACUACCACCAGCAACAAAAUCUACUCAUAUGAGAUGAGAAAGAUACUAGCAUAGAGGUUGAAAAUCCUUCGAUUGUAUAUACAAAAUAUUAUCAUCGUGUUGAAAAGAUACCAAUACAGAUUUUAAAAAAAAUACUAAAAUUAUGUAGCUUUUUACAAUGAUAUAAUUAUGUAUAAAGCUACUUCUGUACUUUAAAAAAGCUACUGUUAUAGUUUAGAAAGUCUACUGCAAUAGUUCUAUAAAGCUACUUCUAUGGUUUUGCCAUUCUCGAUUAGCACGCAACUUUAUUUCAAAUAUUUCUUGGUUAGCCGAAUGAUCUCUUGGUUAAGAGAGGCUUCAAUAUCCAAAUUCACAUGAGAUUUCUGCAAGAACAAAUGCACAACAAAAUAUUAAUAUUUGAAAUGAAAACUAGAAACAACAAUGAAAGUAAAAGUUACUCAUAUCAUGAUGAAAAGAUACUAAUAUAGGCAUAGAAAAAUACUAUCAGUAUUUUGAAAAGACACUACUAUACAAUGAGAAAACUACAAACACAGAACAUGUCAUAAAACAACACUGUAUUUCUCUAGCUUAUUUUCCUACAUGAUCACCAAAUUUAUGAAUACAAAACCACUCACAAGUACUAAUUAAGUAGCUCACUAUUGUCUUCCAUGAACUCCAAAAACUAUUCAAUAUAGACAUUUUAUAUAUACAGAAUCAUUUCCAAAUCAUCUAUUAUACUGAUCUAGUAAUCUUGUUCCUUCAUUGAACACUAAUUCCACCAGUAUCACACCAUCACACUUAAAUUACCCCAUCACAAUAUUAGUAUAUAUUAUGCCCAGACGUCAUCACACAAUUAUCAUCCACAAGGUACCUGAAUACUUCAAAUAGAACAAUCAAACCUAAACAAAUUUCAAUUCAAACGUAAACAAAUUUUAAAUCUGAGUAUGAACCAAAAACAAAUCCAAACAGGAAAAUUUUUCCACAGCAACAAGCCAAAAUUAAUCUCCAUCAAUCAAGCAAUUGAAUCAGCAACAUGCAAAAGUCAAAACUAGUGGAUUUGAAAGCUUCCAAAUUACAUAUUAAACCAGAAAUUAAACAAGAACAAAAUCGGCAUAAUCAAUCAAACUAGUAGAAUAAUCAGAAAUUAAAAGGAAGAAAAUAACAUUGAACCUAAAUUGAAGUAGCUCACACCUCAUUGUCUUCCCCGAAAUUGAGCAUAGAGUGAAGCGAUCUGAACAUCGACGUCAUCCGAGUCGAUCAUUCCGAUGACGAGCGGCAAAACGACGUCGAGCAUCACAAGCGUCUCCAGAGGUCGUCUCUCGAACUCUUAGAUCACUGUUUUGCAGCCAAAGGUUGACGAUUCUUUGGCGUCGACGAGCGUUAUGCAAUCGAGGACCAGCAGUCUCCGUCCAGAUCUAGACGUCGGCGAUCUUCUUCGAUCGGAGAAAUCUGAGGCGGCAUGUUCAAAGCAACAUCGUCGAAGCGGUGGCUUGGUGAUCGAAGAAUAGAGAGAGAGAGAGAGAGAGAGAGAGAGAGAGAGAGAGAGAGAUGGUUUAGGGGAAAAGAAACUGACGUCUUGGUGUAGAGAGAGGGGAGGGCAUUUUAGGUACAUCGUAAAAGUAAAAUAACAGAUUUAGCCUUAAAAGUGGACUUAUAUGAGUAAAACUGUUAUGGUGGACUUAUGUAGGAGAAAAUGUUCAAAAUGUGAUUUAUAUGAAAUUUUCUAUUUUAUAUAUCGAUUGGACCUAAAGAGAAUGCAGCUAGACCAGUGACGUACUGGGAAAAAAUAAAAAAUAAAAAAAGGGGAAGAAUAUAUAUGAUAACAAACAAAAUUAAUGAAUAUAUAGCACAAACAAUUGAUUCAUCAACAACAAAAAAACAUAAAACACAAAGGAAAAUUCUAAAGUACCCACCAGUUUUCUAUACCGUGGUUUUUUUAAAUAUUUUUUACAAACUUAAAGAUAUUUGGUUAAAACUUUUGUAAUAAAUGUCCAUAUUUUGUAAUUACGAAGUCUAAACCAAAUUUACAUAUUUAUGACUCUUUUUACAAAAUUGAGGACGAAUGUGUUGUCGAAAUUGUAAAUUUUUUUAUUUGGACCAAAUAGACCAUUUAUACUCGUUCACGUAAUAUGGUUCUCAGUUUUGUAAUUGAGUGGUGUUUUUUGUAUGGAGAAAAUAAUUAUAUCUUUCACAAUGUUUUUACAAACAUAAGAACAUUUGGUUGAAGGUUUUGUAAUAAAAUGUUCAUAUGUUGUAAUUACGAGGUCUGGAUCAAAUUUACAAAUUUAUGACCUCUUUUAUAAAAUCGAAGACGAAUGUGUUGUCCAGAUGGUAAAUUUUCAGAUUUAAACCGAAUAGAUCAUUUGUCCUCGUUCAUGUAAUAUGAUUCUCGGUUUUAUAAUUGAGAGGUGUAUUUUGUAUUGAGAAAAUAAUUACAUUUUUCACAAUGCGUUUUCAAACUUAAGGACAUUUGGUUGAAACUUUUGUAAUAAAUGUUUAUAUGUUGUAAUUACAAGGUAUGAACCAGAUUUACAAAUUUAUGACCCGUUUUACAAAAUUGAAAACGAAUGUGUUGUCGAAAUUAUAAAUUUUCAGAUUUGGACUAAAUAUACUAUUUGUCCUCGUUCAUGUAAUAUGGUUCUCGGUUUUGUAAUUGGGUGGUGUUUUUUGUAUUGAAAAAAUAAUUACAUUUUUCACAACACUUUUACAAACAUAAGGACAUUUGGUUGAAACUUUUGUAAUAAAUGUUUAUGUGUUGUAAUUACGAAGUUUGAGCCAAAUUUACGUGUUUUGAACGAAUUUACUUAUAUUAGUGUAAAUGUGUUGUUAAAUUUGUAAAAUAAAAAAAAUAAAGAUGCCACGUGUCAGAAUUUAAAUAGGUAAAUAAAAAGAAAAAAAUAUAUUAGAUAUUGAUGGUGAGUAUUAGCCUGUCUCACAAAUAAAAUAGAAAACAAGUAACUUAAGGGGGUCAACGUACACGUACUACAUAAACCACUUGAUGAAGUCGUGAAGAAUGCACCUGAUAUUUUUGUAUUUUUAUCUCUUAAGACUUCUUUUUUCAUUUUAUUUUUGUCAAGCUGGUUGUUUGAAAUACGAUAUAUAAGAGUUGGAAACAGUUCAAAACUGAAAAUUCUUCUAUAUAUGCAGUUGGCAUCAAAACCAUUUAAAUGUCAACUUAGUAACCAACUUUGCAAUAUAUAAUUUGAGUUCUUUGUAAUUUACAAAUUAAACAACUGAGUAUAUAUAUAUAUAGGGCCCUUCCAAUGAGAGAUCAUCUUUUUUGUUCAUUUCUAGGGAUAGAUCAUUUGACGAACUUUUCGAUCACAAAAUCAAAUCUUUNNNNNNNNNNNNNNNNNNNNNNNNNNNNNNNNNNNNNNNNNNNNNNNNNNNNNNNNNNNNNNNNNNNNNNNNNNNNNNNNNNNNNNNNNNNNNNNNNNNNAAUGGUAAUUUAAGAAUUUCGUGUUAUUUUUUUUUUUUACUGGAAUGGCGUUAUAGCCGACGAAACAUGCCACAAUUCGUCGGCUAUAGUAAUUUUUUUUUUCCAAAGGGUUUAGCCGACGAAUUAUGGUAUGUUUCGUCGGCUAAACACUACUAAAGCCGACGAAACAGACAAUAUGUCGUCGGCUAUAGUUAUUUUUAAAUAUUUUAAUUAUAUACUUUAGCCGACGAAACAGAGAUAUUCGUCGGCUAAAGUUUGUCAGUAAAGCCGACGAAUAUAGUGUUCGUCGGCUAAAAUCUGGAACAAUAGCCGACGAAAAAUAGUUCGUCGGCUAAAGUCUGGAACAAUAGCCGACGAAAAAUAGUUCGUCGGCUAAAAGCUGGAAGAAUAGCCGACGAAAAAUAGUUCGUCGGCUAAAGUCUGGACAAUAGCCGACGAUGGUCUUUAGAUUCGUCGGCUAAAGCCAUCACCGACGACCCUUUCCCGACGACACUAUAGCCGACCAGCCUUCGUCGGCUAAGGUCUUAGCCGACGAAUUAGGAUACCAGGCCGACGAAAAUAUUUCGUCGGCUAAAGUACUUGUCCUGGUAGUGAGGUAGAUGAUGAUGGUACUUUCCAGUAAAUGAGUUUCAAAUCAAAUGGAUUGUAUUCCAAUAUGAGAGUAGGUAAUCAUCAAUUUUUAUUAUAUUUUUAAUAGUAGAUUUCAUUAAUUGAUUAAAGAAAAAGAAAAGAACAUAAAUUGUUUUUACUUUUUAUGACUAAUCUCAACUGUUAGUUGUUAUUAGAUCUAAUGGUUGAUAUUUUGGUCAUAAUUUUGAUUAUAAUCUUGUAUGUCACAGAUUCGCCCCUUUGUUGGGUUAUAUAUCAUAUGUAAAUAAUUAUAUGAUAGCAUAUAAUUAGAAAGAAAAUGAAGAAGAAGAAUUCGUGUGGACAAUUACAGAUGUAGAAAAUGAUAUUCCACUACCAUAAAUAGUUGCAAAACACAGAAAACCCACCUUUCAAAGAUUUAUACAAAUAAGCAUGGAAGCCCAAACCCAAAACAAUACAACAUCAAGCGUAAUCCAAAUUCUAAAUGCAUAAUGACCAUAAUACCUAGAAUUUUGACAAAAUUACAGACCAUGUCACUCUCUCUCUCUCUCUCUCUCUGUGACGACAUGUUCAACAAGACUCGAACUCCGGGCCUCGCCGGUUACUGCUCCGAUCAGAUCUGCCGGCGAGGAAGGGAGGAGAAGCCGUAGAAUGAAAGGAUGAAUAGUGAUCAAGGCUUCAAUGAAUCAGACCAGAUCUGAUUUGGUUCUUCUUCUUCUUCUUCUUAUUCACCAGAUCUGUCGGCACCGAAAUCGCAAGGAGGCGAGAAAGAGAAGAGGAGAUGAAGAAUGAAAGAAGCUUCAUCAAAUCCGACUUUAGUUCUUCUUCGAUCUCUACAACUUGGUUUACUUAAAGAGUCAUUAGAAUUAAAACUCAUAGCUUCGAAGAUGACAGCAAAAAUUGAUCCUUUGUAGCUAAUUCAUUCUCCUGCUUCGUGAUGCUACUGUUUGUUGUUGCUACUGCCUUCUGCUAUGUGUUGCUACUGCCUUCUGCUAUGUGUUGCUACUGCAUUCUGCUAUGUGCUGCUACUGCAUUCUGUUAUGUUCUGCUGUGUGCUACUGAUGUGUGUUGCUAUUGCGUGUGAUGUUGGUGUAUGUUAUUGCGUGUGAUGUUGGUGUAUGUUAUUGUGUGCUGCUACUACGUGCUGCUGCUGUGUACUGCGUGCUACUGUUGCGUGUGUUGUUGUUGUGUGCUGCUACUGUGUGCUGUUGUGUGUUGUUACUGCGUGUGUUGUUGUUAUGUGUUGUUACUAGUGCUGCGUACUGGCAUUCUGUUAUGUUCUGUUGUGUGCCUGCUGAUGUGUGUUGCUAUUGCGUGUGAUGUUGGUGUGUGUUAUUGUGUGCUGCUACUACGUGCUGCUGCUGUGUACUGCGUGCUACUGUUGCGUGUGUUGUUGUUGUGUGCUGCUACUGUGUGCUGUUGUGUGUUGUUACUGCGUGUGUUGUUGUUAUGUAUUGUUGUUAUGUGCUGCUACUGCAUUCUGUUAUGUUCUGCUGUGUGCUGCUGACGUGUGUUGCUAUUGCGUGUGAUGUUGGUGUGUUAUUAUGUGCUGCUACUACGUGCUGCUGCUGUGUACUGCGUGCUACUGUUGCGUGUGUUGUUGUUGUGUGCUGCUACUGUGUGCUGUUGUGUAUUGUUACUGCGUGUGUUGUUGUGUGUUGUUAUGUGCUGCUACUACGUGUGUUGUUGUUGUGUGCUGUUAUUGCGUGCUGCUCUGUGCUGCUACUGCGUGUGUUGUUGUUGUGUGCUGCUCUGUGCUACUACUGCGUGCGUUGUUGUUGUGUGUUGCUACUGCGUGCUGCUCUGUGCUGCUCUAUGCUGCUCUGUGCUGCUACUGCGUGCUGCUCUGUGUUGCUACUGCGUGUGUUGUUGUUGUGUGCUGCUCUGUGCUACUACUGCGUGUGUUGUUGUUGUGUGCUGCUCUGUGCUGCUACUGCGUGUGCUGUUGUUGUGUGCUGCCACUGCAUAUUGUUGUUGAUGUGUGUUGCUAUUGUGUGUGUUGUUGAUGUGUGUUGCUACUGCAAGUUGUUGCUACUGUGUGUGCUGUUGUUGUGUGCUGCCACUGCAUGUUGUUAAUUCAUGUUGUUGUUGAUGUGUGUUGCUACUAUGUGUGUGAUAGGAGCACAAAGUGUGACGUUCUUAAUAUGUUUAUACCCUUUAUUUACCCUUUGUUAACUCCUAUUUAAUUGUUUUAGCUUUAUAUUUGUGUUUAGUGUAGAAUAAUUGCUUAAUGUAGAAAUAUGUAGGUUUUAGUGUUAGAAUACAUAGUAUUUUCGAAUUUGAAUAAUUUGAUGUUGAAAUUGUGCUAAGUGUUGGAAAUCCUUGUUUACUCAGGAUUCCUGUCUUGAUCAGGAUUCCAUCUUUCCUCUUUCCUAGUUUCUAAUUUUCUUAUUUCUAUUUCAGAAAAGUCUAAACCCNNNNNNNNNNNNNNNNNNNNACCAUAAUCCGAACUCACCAUCAUCCUUGAUCCGAAGCAAGUAGCCUAGGGUUCUGCUCACUCGAAGAAUAGAACAAGUAGGGAUAUUUUGAGAGUGAAUUCCAUCUUUUUACUUUCGGAUUAGAAUGUGUUUGUUCUUGUUGAUGUUUGUUUUAGGUUUUUGCUUAAGUAUGUUUCGAUUCUUGUCUAUGAGAUAGAAGUACUUUUGAGCCAUGUAUUGAAUUGAAGUUUACGAUUUAUGAUCAAUGAUUUUAGGUUUUAUGCCGUGAGUUUUAUGUCCAUGUACUUUAAGAUUUUCGGUGUUUUCUUCUAUUUUCAUGUGUAAUUGAUACAAGUAGUUGAUGUUGCAUGUGUUAAUCAUCUAAUGUUCGACUUUGAUACAAGUAGUUGAUAAGUUGCAUUGUCUUUGUUAUUUCACCGAUUUUCUACCUAUGUUUGAUUUGGACUUGUGCUUAAACACAUCGAUUCUUUAUGUGAUACGUAAUUGCAUGAUUAGUAAGUAGAGCACAUAGCCGAGCUUGUUUGUGUCACGAUGUUGAAUGAAACCCGUAGUCUAAUUCAAAGUAUGUCUAUGUCAUAGGAACCACGUAGGAACUUAUGUGCAUAUCAAAUUUAGGUUGUGUAUUUGCUCAUGGUGUGGACUUAAUUGAGAUUAGAGAUCGUCUUCUUUGUUCUUGCAUGGUUGUUUGGUUGUGUUUGCAUGAUUGUUGGUUGAUCACAUGUAAAUAUGUAUAGAGGUAAUUUAGGAUUUAUUUCCAAUGUCUAUUUCGAAAUCAUCAAACCUUUAAACCCUAUAUGCUUAUUUCGACAUUUAUAUUAGGUUAGUGGAUCUACCCUGUAGUUGGAUCCCCGGUUUAGAAUGAUCCCUGCUUGCUUUAUACUACGAUUGAUUUGUUGACAGGGUUAAUAUAUGCGUGUGCAAAUAUGAUAUAUCAAAUGGCGCCGUUGCCGGGGAUCCUUCGGGAUCCUCGAUCUUUUUAAUUGUCGAAAUUUGCAUUGUAUAUAUGUCUAUAUGUUUAUAUUUGUAAAGUUAAAACCAUGAAUGUGUAUAUGAUGUAAUUGUGUUUUAUUUUUGUUUUUCUACUUUAAUACUUGUAUAUGAAUAAUGUUGUAGGUUGUAAUGCACAGGAAUAGGUAGGAUCCCUUUUGUUAAUUCUAGCCUUAACCCUUCGUGUUUACUCUCGGGUUUGCAUGAGGUUGUGGGCGGCUUUUAUUAACACUUGGAGUCAUGUUUGGUUCAUAAGUUUGUUGCUAGCUGAGUACAUUGGUACGCUCCUUCUAUUACUUUGGUGCAUGGGACCAAAAUUGGAUCUCAAGAGCCUUGAAGACAUACAUCUCGGUGAUGAAGUUCUCAUUGCUCACUAAACGAGUCCUACCAUGUUCACUAUCUCUGGAUUGAGUUAUUAACCUUUAGAAACAACGCUUCAAGCUUGUGAUCGAAACAUCUAUAUCCAGGCCGCACGUCCACCGUGUCUUACCAUCUAGAAUCAUUAUUUAUUUAAGUGUUUUAGUAGCAACUCGAGAAUAAGCUUGUAUGACUUUGUAAUCCUAAAGAUUGGUGCCAUGUAUGAUUUUGUAUUUAUUUUUUUCGUCAUUUAUCUCUUGAUUUUUGAAUUUCUUUUGUUUUCUUUUGAUUAAUUUUUGGAACCCUUGGUUCCUUUCUCUUAUAAGAACCCUUGGUUCUUAGCUUAGUUUAGUUUAUUGCUUUUGAUUUCGUUUUAUCCUCAUGCAUUCUAACUUGAUCUUGGCCAAAUGGUUUUUCAGGUGCUAGAUGUGCAUGCAACCUCGACUCACUCGUUCGUCUUCACAAGGAGCUCUUGUUCCAUUGAAUCCGGAGAUUGACCGUGCUUGCAAAGAAAAAAGAAAGAAGCAAAAAGAAGUAUCAAGUAGCACGGUUGGACCUUUGGAAUUUGAAGAGCAAGAUCCUCCUUCUCCCUUUCGGAUCCAGUCCGAAUCUUCAUCUUCAUCCGAAUCCGAGAUUGACUGUGAGGAAGACAAGUCCGACAUCGACAUGACCGACUCACCACUCAAAUCUGCUUUCAUCCCCACAGCCCCAGAAUCACCUUCAUGUAUUGCUUUCACUGUGCCUAAUGAAGCCAACUUCUCCAUACCGGUUCAGUUGCUUGGGCAAUUGCCUAAGUACUCGGGUUCUCCAAUGGAGGACCCUAAUGUUCACCUUAGAGAGUUUCUCGAUAUCUGCAGAUUGCAAUCAGUCAAUCAUCUUACUCCAGAAGGCCUAAAGUUGCUUUUAUUUCCUUUUACUCUUAAAGAUGAUGCUAAGCGUUGGUUGUAUUCUUUGCCUGCAGGAAUCAUCACCAAUUGGAAUGAGAUGACCUCGAAGUUCUUGAAACAAUUCUUCCCUGCGCAACUCACGAAGAAGCUAAGGAGGGAGAUUCAGAACUUCACUCAAAAGGAUGGUGACACUCUCUAUGAGGCAUGAGAAGAGUUUCAGGAACUUCAGAGGAAGUGCCCUCAUCAUGGAAUUACUUUGGACGAGUUAGUUCAAGCUUUUUAUGAGGGACUUGACAACACCAACAAGGGUAUGGUGGACUCUGCAUGUGGAUGCACAUUUAUGAACAAGACCGGACGGCAAACAUAUAACUUAAUUGAGGACUUGGCGGAUAACAAUCGUCAAUUCAGCACCAAGAACUCAAGGAAGUCGGUAGGAAGCCGUGGUGGAAUCUAUGACAUUGAAACUCGGAAUCAGAUGAUCACGUUGGAUAGGAAGCUUGAUGUCUUGGUCAAGGCUUUCAAUGGUUCGAAUCUUGGCAACCAAGCUUGUGGAAUUUGCUCACUUUCGGAUCACUCUAUAGAUUCAUGUCCGAAUAGUGCCUUGAGUGAGGCGGAGUUGAACUUUAUGGGACAACAGAGGCAACGUUAUGAUCCAUAUUCGAACACUUACAAUCCUGGAAUUAGAGAUCAUCCGAAUUUUCGGUGGAGUAACAACAAUCCUCAACCGGCCAAUAUUCAAGGUCAAAGACCUCGUCCUUCAGGUUUGUUCAUGAGGCCUCAGGUACCUCAAGGUUUUAUUCCUAACUCUUCUAAUUUCGUGCCUAAUAAUGCCAAUGUUCAAGGUUCAAAUAAUAAUGCUAGUUCUUCUACUCCUAAUUAUGAUGAACUCUUGAAGUCCCUUGCUCACGGGCAACAGAACUUAACAUCUGCAACUCAAGCUUUAGUGACAGGUCAACAGGCUAAUUCUAAAGAGAUCACGGAGCUCAAGAAGCAGAUAGGACAGGUUAUCGAUUUCAUGGGUAAAAUCCAUGAAAGUGGUAAGUUGCCGGGCCAAACCUUGCCAAACCCGAAUGCCGGACAAUUCAAGAUCGUUGCAACUAGGAGUGGUCGAGUUUUUGAGGAGCCUUUGUUGAAGAAGUCGGAGCCUUCUAAGGAAGGUGAAGCCGAGAGCAUAUUGAUGCAAGAUGACGAAGAUAUUGAAGAGGUUUAUGCCGAGAAGCAGCCGGACAAAGAGGCCGUGCCUCAGUCCGAGAGAAAGAGUGACCAUGCGGCAGUUUCUGCCAAGAAGAAGGUGCAAGAGGCCGAGCCUCUUGCAGUCCCUGCUAAUCCGAAAUCCACUCAAGCCGUGCUUGAGAAAGGUAAGUCUUCUAGCUCUAAUGGUUUAGUUUCUACUAAUGUCCAUGCUCGUGCCCCUUUCCCCAACAGGUUUGCUAAAUCAAAGCACGAUGAAGCUGAUCAUGCAAUGAUUGAGUUAUUCAAGAAGGUGGAAGUAAACAUGCCAUUGCUUGAGUGCAUUCAACAAAAUCCAAAGUAUGCGAAAUUCUUGAAAGAGUUGUGCACCAACAAGAGGCUACCACGAGAGAAGGAUGUAGCGGUAAUAAAUGAAACCAUCUCUGCGGUUUUUCAAAGGAAACUACCACCUAAGCUCAAGGAUCCAGAGAGUUUUUCGAUUCCAUGCACCAUUGGUACUCAUAGUUUUGAUAAGAUCAUGUUAGAUCUAGGUGCUUCGAUUAAUGUUAUGCCUUCUUAUCUUUAUGCGGACUUAGGUCUAGGUGAUUUGAAAAAGGAUAACAUUAUCAUUAGAUUGGCUGACCGCUCCAACAAGAUCCCUCUGGGAUAUGUUGAGGAUGUUUUAGUGCAGGUUGCAAGUUUAACAUUUCCUGCAGAUUUCUAUGUCAUUGACAUGGAACCGGCGGAUGCAGAUGACAAAGAAAUUCCCAUUCUAUUGGGAAGGCCAUUCAUGAGAACCGCAAGGACCAAAAUUGAUGUCUAUUCAGGGGAACUAACUUUCGAAAUAGAUGGAGACAUCAUUAGUUACAAUGUUUUUGAUGCAAUGAGGUAUCUACUUCCUGAACUUUUUCGAGAUUCCUUUUCUAUUGAUGUUGUGGAUGAUCUUGCAGAUGAAUAUGUGGAGACAAUAGCUCAAGACACCUUGGCACUCACCUUGGCAAAAGGAAUCGGAUUUGAUGCCAUGGGGAACAAAAUCACCUUAGCUCAAGACACCGUGCCUCUGCCCUUGCUUGAGACCGUGCAGUCACUUGAGGUGGCUGCCGAGGUAUGCUACUCCUCCCCUAGUCCAAUUCUCUUUCCAUCUAAUAAGUUUCUUCCUUCCAUUAUCCAAGCCCCAAAAUUAGAUCUCAAGGUUCUUCCGGAACAUUUGAAGUAUGUUUAUUUGGGUGAGAAUGAAACGUUGCCAGUUAUCAUAUCAUCAUCACUAGAGAAGGAAAAAGAGGAGAGAUUGAUCGAAGUUUUGAAAAGACACAAGACGGCCAUAGGUUGGACCUUAGCCGACAUCAAGGGAAUUAGUCGUACAAUGUGUGUUCAUCGAAUUUUGCUUGAAGAUGGAGCAAAACCGACCAAGGAGGGUCAACGACGUCUUCAUCCACCUAUGAUGCAAGUUGUGAAGGAUGAGGUGACAAAGUUGCUCGAUUGUGGAGUCAUCUACCCAAUUUCGAAUUCAAGGUGGAUUUCACCGGUUCAAGUUGUGCCAAAGAAGAGCGGAAUCACGGUGGUGAGGAAUGAUGAAAACGAGCUUGUGCCGCAAAGGACCGUAACUGGCCACCGAGUGUGUAUCGAUUAUAGGAGGCUCAAUGGAACAACAAGGAAGGAUCACAUGCCGUUGCCAUUCAUUGAUCAAAUGCUUGAGAGGUUAGCCGGUCAUUCCUUCUAUUGUUUUCUUGACGGUUAUAGUGGUUACAAUCAAAUAAGUGUUGCGGAAGAGGAUCAAGACAAGACAACGUUUACAUGUCCCUUUGGCACUUUUGCCUACCGCCGCAUGCCUUUUGGCUUGUGCAAUGCUCCAGGUACGUUUCAAAGAUGCAUGUACCACAUAUUUUCUGAGUUCAUAGGUUCUAAGAUUGAAGUCUUUAUGGAUGAUUUUUCUGUUUAUGGUGGAGAUUUCGAUGUAUGUUUAGAAAAUGUAGAACUUAUGCUUAGGAGAUGUGAGGAAACUAAUCUUGUGCUUAAUUGGGAAAAAUGUCCCUUCAUGGUUACUCAGGGUAUAGUGCUCGGCCACAUUGUUAGUUCUAGGGGUAUUGAAGUUGAUAAAUCUAAGAUAGAUCUUGUGCGCCACUUACCCAUCCCCACAAGUGUGAGGGAUGUUCGAAGCUUUCUUGGACAUGCAGGUUUUUAUCGUCGAUUUAUCAAAGAUUUCUCCAAGAUAGCUCGGCCCUUGAGUUCUUUGUUGCCAAAAGAUGUGCCCUUCCACUUUGAUGCCGAGUGCAAGGAGGCUUUUGAGCGGUUGAAGACCAUGUUGACAUCGGCGCCGAUCAUGGCUCCACCGGAUUGGUCCUUGCCUUUCGAGUUGAUGUGUGACGCCUCAGACUAUGCCGUGGGGGCUGUGCUCGGACAGAGAAAAGAACAGCAGCCGUAUGCCAUAUAUUAUGCCUCUCGGACGCUCAAUGAUGCGCAACAGAACUACACCACCACCGAGAAAGAACUUCUUGCCGUGAUCUUUGUUUUGGAUAAGUUUCCUUCUUACUUACUCCAAUCUAAAGUUAUUGUUUACACUGACCAUGCGGCUUUGAAGUAUUUGUUGACGAAGAAGGAUGCCAAGCCGAGAUUGAUAAGGUGGAUAUUGCUUCUCCAAGAGUUCGAUUUGGAAAUCAAAGACAAGAAGGGGUCGGACAAUGUUGUUGCCGACCACCUUAGCAGGUUGGUACGUGACUCGGAUCCCGUGGCCAUCCAAGAGUGCUUCCCGGAUGAGCAACUUUUCAAGGUAAGUGAGGUAAGUGAGCCUUGGUAUGCAGACAUUGUGAAUUACCUUGUGACAAAGCAAUUUCCGAAUUUUAUGUCCUAUCAUGCUAGAAAUAGACUUAAGGCAUUAGCUAGACAUUAUGUGUGGGAUGAACCUUAUUUGUGGAAGCAUUGUGUUGAUCAAGUUAUUAGGAGGUGUGUCCCGGAGAAUGAGCAUAGGUCUAUUCUUAGUUUUUGCCAUGAUCAAGUUUGUGGAGGUCACUUUGGUUCUCGUAGGACUGCUUUGAAAGUUUUAGAAUGUGGAUUCUUUUGGCCUACUAUUUUUCGAGAUGCCUAUAUGUAUUGUACUUCAUGUGAUAAAUGUCAAAAGACAGGAAAUUUAGGACCUAGGGAUGAGAUGCCUAUGCAACCUAUUAUACAUGUUGAAAUAUUUGAUUGUUGGGGUAUUGAUUUCAUGGGGCCUUUUCCGAAUUCUCACGGCUAUUUGUACAUUCUCGUAUGUGUGGAUUAUGUUUCUAAAUGGGUGGAAGCAAAAGCCACCCGGACUAAUGAUUCUCGAGUUGUUGCAGAUUUCCUACGCUCUAAUAUUUUCUCCAGGUUUGGAAUGCCGAAAUUUGUAAUAAGUGAUGGAGGUUCCCACUUUUGCAAUCGGACAAUUGAAGCUCUAAUGAAGAAGUAUGGAAUCAAGCAUAAGGUUGCUACACCUUAUCACCCCCAGACAAGUGGGCAAGUGGGCAGACAAGUGGGCAAGUGGAGCUUAGUAACCGAGAGAUCAAGCGGAUAUUGGAGAAGAGUGUGAAGCCGUCACGCAAGGAUUGGAGCCAACGACUUGAUGAUGCACUAUGGGCAUAUCGGACUGCAUUCAAAAAUCCCUUGGGGAUGUCACCGUUUCGUAUGGUGUACGGCAAGGCUUGUCACUUGCCUGUGGAGUUGGAACAUCGGGCUUGGUGGGCGGUUCAGACUUUUAAUAUGGAUAUUGAUGAGGCCGGAUUACACAGGAAGUUGCAGUUGUGUGAACUUGAAGAAAUCAGGAAUGAGGCUUAUGAUUCUGCCGUGAUCUAUAAAGAGAAAACCAAGGCAUUCCACGACAGGAUGAUUCGAAAGAAAGACUUUGUUAUUGGCCAGAAAGUUCUCUUAUUUAAUUCUAGACUUAGGUUGUUUCCAGGCAAGCUACGUUCUAGGUGGAUAGGACCUUUUGUUAUCACAAAUGUCUUUCCUUCUGGUGCAGUCAUGAUUAGAAGCAUGGUCAAAGGAGCUGAAUUUCAGGUUAAUGGUCAUCGAUUAAAGCCUUACAUGGAGAACAUGGUGAACCACACGGUGGAGGAAGUCUCUCUCCUAGAUGCGACGACAUGAGAAUGAGGAGAUGAUAGUCUAGGCUAAAGGACUAUAAACACUUAAGCGCUGCAUGGGAGGCAACCCAUAGAAGGAGCCAUCAACGAGAGUUUGCAAAUUUCUUUAUCCCUCCUCUUUUCUUUUCGGAUUGCUCUUAGUUUUCUUACAUUGAGGACAAUGUUGAUUUUAAGUGUGGGGUGGAUGUCAUUACUCGUUGAUUUGUUAUGCUUUGAUAUGAUUUGAGUUGUUUUUAAUUUUUAGGAUUAAUUUUGAAUUUUUCUGAUUACAACUUUGUUUCUUUAUUUUGUGUUUUGUUUUUAUUUUGUUGAGUCUUAGGUGCCUUCUAACGUGUCUAGGAUGAAUAUAUGAUCUUUGAUUGAUUAGUUAUUGAGAUGAUCGAGCAUGAUUUCGAAUAUUUGAGCUUAUAUGUUAUUUGAUGGUUAAUAGAUAUGUUGAAAUUGUACGAACUUGUAGUAGAUGAGGACCAUUGAAACUUAGGUACAGAAUGAGCAUGUUCCUUGCUUGUUUGCAUAUUACCUUUGUGAGAUUUUCGAGCCAUAUAUGUGCCUAUUCUUUGGAGAGUUUACUCUAUCUAUUCUUUUUUAUAUAUGACCUCAUUAUACAUUACUUGAUCGAUUUAUAUGCCAUAGAGAUUGAAUGAACUAGAGAUUGCUAGAACUUACUUAUGAAACUUUCAAAAGUUUUAUCAUAAUUUGCUUUGAUUUUGAAUAUGAUUGUGGAUCUUUCUUAGGACUAUCACCACUUUAUCUAAAUAGUCAUAUAUUCCUAUUUUGAGCCCUGUUUGGGACCCCUUAGUCUAAACCCCCUAGAGCCUACGUUAUGCCUUUCUUGUUCACCUAAAUUAUCCCUUGCCUAGUAUAGAAUUCCUCUACCUUGUCUCGAGCUUGGCAGAGCUAUCUUUUUGUGAUGAUUUGAGGUGAUGAUUCAAUACAAGUGUGGGGUUGUUCUAAGGAGUUUGUUGCCGAGAUACACAUAAGAAAAGAAAAAAUUGCUCUCGUAGAAAAAAAAAAAAAAAAAGUUUCGAAUUGAUUUUGAUGAAGAUAUCUCGGCCUAGAUGUAGUUUUUGUGAAUUUGGAGUUGUGAUUUGUUUGUUGAAGGCUCAAUAUGUUAAUACUUUUAGCCUUUGUUCAUUUUCACAAUGUUUAAAGUGAAGGAUGGGUCCAACAUGAUGAUAUUUGGCCCUUGAUGGUGUUUGGUGACAUAAAGUAGAUCUUCUUGCUCUGCUAAGUCUUGAGGAUGACCUUUGUGAUUCCUUUACUUUGAAAAUUUUUCCAUGCCGCGAGCCUAACCAACCUAUUUUCUAAAGAUCCGCAUGAUUCUUAAGAUAAGUAACCUUUGAUCUGUGGAGUUUGUUUCAUGAGUAAGCGUAUGGUUGUGGUUCAUUUGUGCAUAUGAUUGGUAUAUUUUAUGAGGUUUUUAAAUUCAUUAUGUCUUUAUAACUCUUGUGUGUGAAAAGCUUCUAAGCAUAUGCCAUGUUCUUGAGAGAAAAAAAAUUCGGAGUGCAUAUCCUUUGUGAGUUGAAUUUGAACUUGUUUGGAACAUGUCGAGCUUAAUUUCACCUUUGUUUCUGCCAUGUCUUACUUGUUACAUCGAAAUCUCAUGUUUAUUAACCAUUGAAUUCAUCUUUCAAUUUCGAUUCUUGUGUUAUUCUUGAUGCUAUGAUUUUGAAGGUCUCUGAGACAAUUUCGUUGAAGGCAUUAGAUUGAGACAUUGUAGUAUUUUCGAGAUUAGUUGUGUUGUUUUUGUUUUAGUGGUUUGCUAAGGGACUAGCAAAGGUUAAGUGUGGGGUUGUUGAUAGGAGCACAAAGUGUGACGUUCUUAAUAUGUUUAUACCCUUUAUUUACCCUUUGUUAACUCCUAUUUAGUUGUUUUAGCUUUAUAUUUGUGUUUAGUGUAGAAUAAUUGCUUAAUGUAGAAAUAUGUAGGUUUUAGUGUUAGAAUACACAGUAUUUUCGGAUUUGAAUAAUUUGGUGUUGAAAUUGUGCUAAGUGUUGGAAAUCCUUGUUUACUCAGGAUUCCUGUCUUGAUCAGGAUUCCAUCUUUCCUCUUUCCUAGUUUUUAAUUUUCUUAUUUCUAUUUCAGGAAAGUCUAAACCCGUGUUGACCAGGAAAUGUUUUCCUGACUCAUGAGGGAAAGGCGGCCGGCAGCUAGGAGUUCCUGCUUGAGCUAGGAGAAGUACAAUCCGAGAUAUGUAUGGAAGAUGCCGUGAGAUUUCCUAAGUCACCAAGGAAAGAGACCGUGCGGCCCAAGAGAGAAGGUUUUCCAAGUUCAAGAUGGUUAUGUCAUUCCUUAAUGCAUAAGGAUUACUUGAAGACCAAGAGAGGAAGUUAAAAUCCAACUUGGACUUGGUUUUGCCGAUUUAAUAAGGAUUCCUUGUGCUUGAGGAAUUCUUGGAGAUCAAGUCUUGUUACUCUAUAUAUAGGGCACGGCAUGGCAGCAGUUUAUGAUCAUCAACCCGUGCAAAAAUCACGCCAAAGCUUUGCCGAAACUUCAUCAUUCUCCAAACACCAUAAUCCGAACUCACCAUCAUCCUUGAUCCGAAGCAAGUAGCCUAGGGUUCUGCUCACUCGAAGAAUAGAACAAGUAGGGAUAUUUUGAGAGUGAAUUCCAUCUUUUACUUUCGGAUUAGAAUGUGUUUGUUCUUGUUGAUGUUUGUUUUAGGUUUUUGCUUAAGUAUGUUUCGAUUCUUGUCUAUGAGAUAGAAGUACUUUUGAGCCAUGUAUUGAAUUGAAGUUUACGAUUUAUGAUCAAUGAUUUUAGGUUUUAUGCCGUGAGUUUUAUGUCCAUGUACUUUAAGAUUUUCGGUGUUUUCUUCUAUUUUCAUGUGUAAUUGAUACAAGUAGUUGAUGUUGCAUGUGUUAAUCAUCCAAGGUUCGACUUUGAUACAAAUAGUUGAUAAGUUGCAUUGUCUUUGUUAUUUCACUGAUUUUCUACCUAUGUUUGAUUUGGACUUGUGCUUAAACACAUCGAUUCUUUAUGUGAUACGUAAUUGCAUGAUUAGUUUAUGUGUGUGACCUAUAAGUAGAGCACAUAGCCGAGCUUGUUUGUGUCACGAUGUUGAAUGAAACCCGUAGUCUAAUUCAAAGUGUGUUUAUGUCAUAGGAACCACGUAGGAACUUAUGUGCAUAUCAAAUUUAGGUUGUGUAUUUGCUCACGGUGUGGACUUAAUUGAGAUUAGAGAUCAUCUUCUUUGUUCUUGUAUGGUUGUUUGGUUGUGUUUGCAUGAUUGUUGGUUGAUCACAUGUAAAUAUGUAUAGAGGUAAUUUAGGAUUUAUUUCCAAUGUCUAUUUCGAAAUCAUCAAACCUUUAAACCCUAUAUGCUUAUUUCGACAUUUAUAUUAGGUUAGUGGAUCUACCCUGUAGUUGGAUCCCCGGUUUAGAACGAUCCCUGCUUGCUUUAUACUACGAUUGAUUUGUUGACAGGGUUAAUUGAUGCGUGUGCAAAUACGUCUUAUCAGUGUGUUGUUGAUGUGUGCUGCUACUGCGUGUCAUGUUGCUACUGUUGUGUGCUGUUACUGCUUCUUGUUGAACUUCCGUAUCAACAACAAUAAUAGAAAGUAGUAGUAGCGAAGCUUUCACCCUCUGCUAUGACUCCUUCAUUAUCUUAGUCUUCAAGGAAUAACAAAACUAGAGGAUUGCCCAAGCAUACUUGUGCUACUACUUGGUUGUUAACCCAUGCUACUACUUCUACUGCGAUGUUAACCCUUACUACUACUUCUACUGGAAUGUUAACCCCUGCUACUACUUCUACUAGAAUUAACUGUUACUACACUAAGUUAUUGAAAACAUGCUACUGUAUUCCAUUUAUUGAAAAAUCUCAAAAAGAGAGACUUUUCUCUUCUAAAAACAUAUUUAAUUAGUAUAGGGUUAGUUUGGUAAAUUAAACCAUGACACAUGACAUGUAGAGAAAAAAUUGUUCUCAAUUGUUAAAAGCUGUCCUUAUUUGUUUAACAACAACACAAGUAGAUUUAUUUGUGUUUCAAGUCCUUUUAGAGAAUGUAUAUGUGAUUUGCUAUUAUAAAUGCGAUGGUUCAUAAAAAAUGUUAUUUGGGUCACAAGAAAGUCUGUGGCGAUGUGUACUUGAUUUCCUUCAUGUUUAUAAUGCUAUUAUCGUGUUCAUCACGAAUAGCAUUUGCCAGAGUUUUCAAGAAUAUUUCGGAAGGUAGCUUGUCUCUUUCCCGAUUCAGAACAGAAGGAUGUGGCUGGUGGCUGUGGCUGGUGGCGGGUGACGUACUGUUAUUGUUGUACGAGGUAGAUCAGAUGACAUCGACGACUUGGCGUUGGUCCGGUUAGGCAGCGGCGGCAGCGACGGAUGGGAGAGGGCGAGGUAGAGGCUUGGACCGGGUUUGAGGAGGUAGGCUCAUCGGACUAGUUCUCUAGGUUUGGCCUUGUUCUACUCGGGUAAAUGCCUGGGCCUGGGUUCCUCAUGGGCCCUGGGUUUGGCUUUUUGUUUUUGUUUUCCAUUAGUUUAGACUAGGCUGUUUACGAGUCUAGAGCAUUUGUUUAGUUUUGAGCUUCAGCUUAGCACUAGGACGGUUGAUGCUCUAGGGUAGCCCCUUUUGCAUAGGGUGGUCCUGGAUGUGGUCAAUAAUGAUAGGUUAAGGUUUUGUCCCUUCCUCCUUGUGUUCUCGGUGGCUGGUCACUUUUCCCGUUUGCUACCACGGAAUAUUAAUCAUUGCACUUCAUCCUACGUUCUUCAACGUAGAGAUUGCUUAGUGUUUACUAAGUAGUCUUCCAUGUUUCAUUUCUUAUGUAGCUCCCGUGAGCGGAUCGUGUUCAUGUUGUUGUACUUACUUUCAAGUUGUGAUCAAUAAAAAUAGGCUAACGUCUUUUAGUUUUUAAAAAAAAAAAAAACUUAGUCUAUUUCCCACAAAUUGUUUUCUUAAUUUAGUUUUUUUAUUGAACUACAAUGGUGGUUAGUGUUACAAGAAAAAUGGAGUGGAACAAGGUUUACUCAUUCUCAUUAGAAACCCUCUUUACAUAGAGGUGAAUUACAACGGUAAUUACAUGCAUAUAAUGACGAUAAUCAAUGGUAAUAAAAAUGUACAUAAUGACUGAUAUAACUAAUUGAGCCGUUACAUCCGUUAAUCAUUAAUUCCUUAAUCUACUCUUGUUAGUUACUUUGACGAAGGUGACGAAGGCACACAUAAGGUAUUUUUCCUUCAACACUCCCAUUUUGCCAAGUCAAAGUUAAAACAGUGUAUAAGAUGUUGUCUCAUUAAAAACCUUGCCAAGUAACAAAACCCAGUGAGAUAAAAUAAAUCUUGAUCGAAGGGAAAAAAACACAAUGCACCUAUGAUAGUGUAUGUGUGUCAGACUCCCCAUGAAGUCUACACUCCCCCUGAUUUUUACAUCAAUCAAGAGUGCUAGGAACGUCCUCACAUUCCUAUGUUUCUCACAAGGUAUCGUUGUGUUCCCAAUGGUGAAUACAUGACCAGUUUGGGAACAACCUAUUGGUCAUAGAUACUUUGCAUUAGUAAUGACCAACCAAAGCAUUGUUUGGUGUAUUGAUGUAGGGGAUUAUAGUUCCAUCUGCAUUCCCUUUUGUCUUUCUUUUGGGAUAGGAUAAACCUAAGUCAAUGGUAUCUUUAAAUAUCAUGAUACAUUUUUUAUACCUUCCAAUGACAUUACGUUGGCGCUUGAACAAGUUCAAUGAGAAUGUAAUAUCCGGUCGUGUUCAUCGGGUUAAGUAUAAUAUUACGCCUAUUGCACUUUAGAGAAUGAAUUUCGAUUCUCAACCCUUCUUUGUUAUCUUCCUUUGGACGAAAUGAAUUAUUCCUUUACAUUCAGACAUUGACCGAUCAUUGGGAGUGCUAACAAUAUGCAAUUCGUCUAUGGACAUCGUCUAAGAAUCUUUUAGACACGUUCAGACUGAUGGAUUAGUAUUCCACAAACUCAUUGUUAACCGAGUUUUCCAAGAUUAUUCAUAUUAAUUUGGUCAUGUAGCUUGUGGUUUCUCUUAUUUUAUCAAAGUACCUACUAUGUUCUUAUCAUCGAUAUAUGAGUUAUGAUUGCAAAUCCGGAUCUUUUUCCGCUAGAAGUACGGAGGGGCAUAGUUCAUAAUUUUGUAUCCCUUCCCAACCAAAUUUCAGAUGAUAAUUGACAUCGAAGGCCUUGCGUCAAAUAUAGGUGCACAUAUACUCCAGCUAAACAACCCAAAUACCCAAUACAUUGAGCACCCAAUUACAACUUCUGAGAUUCUUCAAUUCAAUUUAAUUCAACUUUGAACUGUUCCUUCAACUUCUCGACCAAGAAAAUAUACUGAAGAAAUCCCUUUCAGUCUCAUUUUCACACUGUAAUUUAAAUGUAUUCAACAUCAGUUGUCAUCCUAACCUUAAAUUAUGAAACAAAAACCUCUAAGAACCACACCAUACAACCACCAUAGACGGUGGUUUCCGCAGUGGCAGUAAAUACCCAGAAACGCAAGUCGAAGAUAUUGAAUAGAACCAAGGAAUCACUUACCCAGACUAUCAGAGGUUGAAGAUUUGAUCAUUGUUCAAGCAGCAAAUGAACCAACAGUGCCAGAAAAGCUCGUCGGCGUCAACGAACUCGAUGGAACCGAAGAAACCAAACCAAUUCAAUAUUGACCAAACUCAAAAAUUAAGUCGGGUUUGUGGAAGAAAUCCAUACCAAAUAAAUCGGAUUCGUGGCCGGAAACCCCAGAAAUCGGCGGAGGAGCAGAAGCUUCUCGCGUCGUUUCUCUUUCUACAGCCGCCGAUCAGAAAAACUAAGGCUAGAGAGAGCUCGGUGACGUCGAGACAGUUUUAUUGGUGGCUGUGUGUCGUCUAAAGGUGGCCGGAUGGCGAGGGCGGCGUCGGAGGUCGGCAUCGAGUCAAGAGAAAAGGCGGAGUCGGUCUGACGACUUUGACCGAGUCAACUCCUUUUAUACACUUCACCGAGAUUCUACGCUCCAGAUAGCACCAAAGGAAAAAUCUAAUUUUCUAAACUAGUAAUUUCUACAUUUCUUAAACUUCUAAAAAUUAUAGAAAAUAGCUCAUGACUCCCAAUAAUUCUCCAAAAAUUUCCACGAAGUCGUCUUGUCGUAUACUAUUUUAUCCAACUCUUAAACCAAGGUUUUCACCAUGUGAAAAAUUCUUAAAUUUUCCUCGAACACAUUUUAAAAUCAUCGAGGUUGAUAAGUUAUUUACCAAACAACCUCAAAUUAAGCUCAUCCAAUUUUUCGGGUGUUACAGUAACCCUUUAGUGGCUGGAUGAAACACAAGGUUGCCAGAUAUGAUACCGUGCGAUCACAUAGUAGGAAAGCUGCAUUGAAAUUUGUUUUGAUGAUUGUUCUUAGUAUAAUUAUCUUUCUAUUAUGUCACCGUUUUGUCAAAACAAAUGUAUUAGUUAAUGAAACACUUUUUGCUAACUGGUGCAUGUUAGAAUACGUUACUUAUUGUAAUUUAAAGUUCAGACUCUAUGUCCCCUCUUGAAUUUUAUGAUUUCAUUAACCAAGGUUUACGACAGCCGCACCGGGCCUACUUAAAAAAGAAAACAAGAAAAAGAGUAUUCAAUCUUACAAGGUGUAUGUUUACUAAGUCAUGGCUAUGACUUUUUGUUUUUAAGUUUACUUGAGAAAUAUGACCAGUUUUUUGAGUGAAAACAAAAAAGAAAUUACUAGUAGUAGAAGUGUUGGAAAAAUUGUCUGGAUACGAAAAAGGGUAAGCUUGAAAGUUUUGUGUAAAUUUGAGAAUGGGAGGUCCAACUGUCAAUUUAGGAGGUAUGAAACCGAAAGAAAAAAAGAAAUAGAAUCUUGGAGGUUCAACUAUUUAUACCUCCUCAAGUCCUCAUUUAGCAUUUCAAGUUUUCAACCUCCAAAAACAAAUUAAUUAAAAGUAGUUUACCCAGUACCCACCAUCUCCGAUCACAUCAUCAGCGACCACAACUGAAUUCGUAUUGUUUGUUGUCCACGCCAAUCCGUCAAGCCGAAGAGAGAAAGAGGAAGUGGUGACAUGGUCUCAUUUUCAAAUCUCAAUUUGGGUUUAUUAGUUUAUAGUCUAUUCAAUAGCUGAAGAAACUCUCUUUAAAUUUAAUAUGAUAUUGAUGAAUGAUGACCAUUCCAACUAAAACCUCUCCCGAUCAUUCUCAAAAAGAAAAUUCCUUUUUUCUUUCUUUUUUGGUCUAAUUCGUUUGGUUGAAGAAAAAAGAAGGAAAAAGAAUGAAACAAUUCCCUAUUUCAAGUCAUAGCUUAUAACUUCAUACGUACGUACCAGUACAGUACACGCAUAAUGCAGGCUGAUGCAGCCAUGGGCACUAUAAAUAUAUAAAGCUAUUCCUGAAGUGCUCUAACAUAUCAUACAUGCGAUACAGCAAACACAUACACAGCUAUGAGAACCAUAACAUCAUUUCUCGCUUACCUUCUUUUCUAUGUCCAGUUAGUUUCAUCACUAAACAUUGCUUUUGCUUCUGCUAGUUCUAAACCUAGUGAAGCAGACGCUCUUCUCAAAUGGAAAGCAAGCUUUCAAAACAAAAACCAGAAUAAUAAUCUGACCUCCUGGACUUACUUUCCCAGCAAUUCCACCAAUCCAAAAGCAGACGGAGGCCCAUGCAACGUUUGGACUGGCAUUUCAUGCAACACUCUUGGAAGUAUCAACAAGAUAAACAUCACAAAUUCUGGUAUUCGAGGUACGCUGCAUGAAUUUCCAUUCCUGUCGUUGCCCAAUCUUGAAUAUAUUGACCUCAGCUUCAAUGAACUCUUUGGUGCCAUCCCAUCUCAGAUUAGUUCUCUCGCCAAACUCAUUUAUUUUGAUCUAUCUUGUAAUAAGUUGUCCGGGAAAAUUCCACCAGAAAUUGGUCUUCUCACAAAUGUUGAGGUCUUGCGCCUGCACGUAAAUCAGCUAACUGGCUCGAUUCCUGCUUCUAUAGGUAGCUUGAGCAACCUGAUUCUUUUGUCGCUCCAGGACAAUCAACUUUCCGGUUCCAUUCCACCAGAGAUAGGAAACCUUUCUAGUUUGGGUUACAUGGAAAUGAGUGAAAACCAUCUAACAGGUCCAAUCCCUCCAAAAUUUUUGGAAGCUUAAAAAACAUGGCUUGCUUGUCUAUCUUCGACAAUCAACUUUCCGGUUCCAUUCCACCACAGAUAGGAAACCUUUCUAGUUUGGGUUACAUGGAUAUGGGUGAAAACCAUCUAACAGGUCCAAUCCCUCCAAAUUUUGGAAGCUUAAAAAACCUGGCUUACUUGUAUAUCUUAGAGAAUGAACUUUCUGGUUCCAUUCCUCCAGAAAUAGGGAACCUUUCAAGUUUGGUUGAAAUGGAAAUGGCCAGAAACAAAAUAAAAGGUCCGAUCCCUCCAAGUUUUGGAAGCUUAAAAAACCUGACAUAUUUGGGUCUCUACGACAAUCAACUUUCUGGUUCCAUUCCUCUCGAGAUAGGAAACCUUUUAAAUUUGUUCGAAAUAGAAUUGGGUGGAAACCAUUUAACAGGUCCAAUUCCCCCAAAUUUUGGAAGCUUAAAAAGUCUAACGCGGUUGUACUUGAACCUGAAUAAUCUUUCUGGUUCAAUCCUAACAGCUUUAGGCGAUUUGACAAACCUUAACCUUCUCUAUCUUUAUGGGAAUCAACUUUCUGGCACCAUUCUAGAAGAGAUAGGUAACUUGAAAUCUAUGGAAGCACUAGAGUUGAGCAUAAAUCAACUCAGUGGAUCCAUUCCUACAUCAUUGGGUAAGUUGAGAAACUUAAAAACCUUAUUACUUGGAGAAAACCAGCUUUCUGGAACCAUUCCUGAGGAGAUUGGGAAUCUCAUGAACUUGACUAGGCUGACAUUGGAUAGUAACCAACUUUCUGGUUAUUUGCCCCAAAAUAUUUGCCGAGGUGGAUUACUAGAAAACUUUACAGUACACACCAACCAUUUGAUAGGUCCACUUGAAAGAUUAUUAUGGACUUUUAACAAUAUUAUGUGACUUUUAGUUCAAGCAAUUGAUUAAGCCUAAUCUAAGUAUUACGAGUUGUAUAAGGAAUGUAAUAUUGGUGAUGUGUAAAUAAUAUAUAGUUUACAUAUUGAAUAAGGAAUCCAUAAUAUCUUCUUAUAUGAUUCUCGUAAUCUUUGGUAAAUCUUAUAGAUCAACUAGGAAUCUUUAAUGGGUAAGGCACUAGUUGAUCACUAUAAAUACACGAGCAUAAGUCCUUGAUAUCAUCACAAGACGCAUUCAGUCCCUAUCCCAUCUAAGGAGCACAUUGUGAGAGAGAUCAGAAGACCUAAGCUUUCAGACAUGGCAAUCUCCAUUAACAACGCUGGUAAGUCUUAAGUUCUACAUAUGUUGAUUGUGUUUAUAUGCUUGUGCUAACUAUGGUAUCACUACCAGGACAAGCACUUUAGCCGACGAAAGAUUUUCGUCGGCCUGUUAUCCUAAUUCGUCGGCUAAGGUCUUAGCCGACGAGCCUUCGUCGGCUAUAGUGUCGUCGGGAAAGGGUCGUCGGCGAUGGCUUUAGCCGACGAACCUAGAGACCGUCGUCGGCUAUUGUCCAGACUUUAGCCGACGAACUAUUUUGUUGUCGGCUUUUGUUCAUGCAUUUAAGCCGACGAAACAGACACUAUAUUUCGUCGGCUAUUAUUCCAGACUUUAGCCGACGAAAUAGCACGUCGUCGGCUAUACUCCAGACUUAAGCCGACGUAACAGAAAUAUUCGUCGGCUUUACUCCCAGACUUUAGCUGACGGAACAUAGAUAUUCGUCGGCUAAAGUAUAUAAUUAAAAAAUUAAAAAUAACUAUAGCCGACGAAAGCCGACGAAAUAGAGUCUAUUUCGUCGGCUUUAGUAGGGUUUAGCCGACGAAACAUGCCAUAAUUCGUCGGCUAAACCCUAUGGAAAAAAAAUUAAAAAUACUAUAGCCGACGAAUUGUGGCAUGUUUCGUCGGCUAUAUCUCCAUUCCAGUAAAAAAAAAAUACGUGAAAUUUCUAAAUUACCAUUCCAAGCAAGCUGCAAAAUACACCAAAACAAUUCCAUAUAUAUAACCAACAAGAAGCACAUAAAACUAUAUAAGGUAUCAACUACACAAAAUCUAGAUGGUCUAAAUCAAUAUUCGAUUCUGGGGCCUGCUGGUGAGGAGAUUGCGGCGGCAGAGGUAACUGUAUAAGCGCAAGUAUGGGCGGAGGUGGAAGUCCCUGAAGCUGGGCAGCUGUAAAAUCCUGGAAGUACUGGAACAUCUGCUGAUGCUGGGCCUGCUGAGCGGCAUGUAGGGCUCUAGCAUAGGCUCUAUAUUUGACGAUUUGGGCGGUAUGAGCGGCAGCCUGAGCAGCAUGAGAGUCAGCUUGAGCUGCAGCCUAAGCUGCUUGCUGUUCCUGUAGUCACUCAACUUCCGACUCUAGUUGAGUCGUCCUGCUGCUAGUCGAGGCUGCCUUUCGUUGAAAUCCUGGAGUGGUCUUCAGGACCCUCUGGCCCUUCUUUCCUAGACCCCGGCAGUAGAAGUUGUUUUCUCGCGGUGGGAAGGCUGUGCCCAUGAUCCUCGCCCCAACCCUCGAAUCUGAAGUGUCUAUCCGGGAAAUGGCUUCGGACAUCUCUUCCUCCUGCGUGUCCGGCCAUGUCUCCCUCACUAUAGCACUCAUCACCUCGUCACUAGCCUCCCUCACCUUUGCCUAAUUGGAUAGAAAAAAAAUUAUUAAUUAACAUUUUGACAUAUAUAUAAGUAAAAUUAAAAAUUCCGUAAAAAAGAAAGAUUACUUACUAUAUCCUCCUAGGAGUCAGGAUAUGUCUUCUCGUACGUAUAGACGUACUGGUUGACCUCUGGAUGUUCCCUGGCCGCCUCGUCCAUGAAGACAGCGAACGGUCUAGAACUGGCAUGAUGGUUCCUUGUGUUGCGUUGCCGGUUCUGAGCGUUCGCCCGGAAAACCGUCUUCAAAGAAAAAACAAAACUAUUAGUAAAAUAUUUAAAAACGCACGUACUUAAUGACAAAUUCACUAAUUAAUUUAUUUAAAUACCUGUUUACGAGGGUUGUUGAAUUCUGAUGUCAGAAACCAACACCACUCGUACUCUCUGUACUGGAACUCAGCAGGGGUAGCAGAACGUGCGUUCCCGUGCGUAGUCUAAUGGGUCCGCAACUCGUUCUUCCACUCCUUGUACCUACAUAUACAACAAAAAUAUUAGAAAUAUUAUUAAUAUGACAUACAAUUUUGUUUUUUCAUUAACUUCCCAACGUACCUUCCCCCAUGCAUAAAGUCCGCCCAGCUGCUCUUCAAGGGCUCGGGAACCUCAAACCACACCUGCAUUUAACCGUUUAUUAGUUUAGUUUUUCGAGAAAUCUAAACUAUAAUACAUAAUAUUAUUAAGACAUUUUGUAAACUCACCGACAUCGUGUUGUGGACCAUGUCCUUAACCUCUUGCGUGACCUCGCCCCAGUCUGACCACAACAUGGGGACUCUAUCCCUAAUGAGCACUCCCACACGGCCGGAGUACGUCCUUGACUUCCCGCCCGAUACUACGUCGCCAUCCCCGUCAGUACCAAUGACAAUCCUCCCUGAGGUACCGACGAUCUUCUCGAGAGCCUUCCCUGUGACGGGGCCUCUCUUCUUUUUUGUCGGCUUCGCUCCGAUGGUGCCUAUCUCAUGAUAAACCAAAUUGGUUAUUAAAAUCGGAGAAUUAUAAGAAAACAAAUCAUUCAUCUUUCAUUACCUGAGGGCGAAGAGGCGGACGCGACGGAUUCCGUCUCCGAUGAUGAUACCCUCGCGGAAAUAAGAGGCGUAUCAAAAGGCACGAACCGGUACGCCGCUGAUGGAGCCACUGGCGGGGGCAGUGGAUAAAUCGGCGUCCCUGAGUCAUCGACUACAGGUAUGGCCGGUAUCAUCCGCGGAAGGAAUAGGUGAGGCGGCGGCAUCUGUACCCCAAAUGACCUACUAUCCGAAGAAGUAGGACUUGGAGUGGGCGCCCGGUGUAUCUCAGGCAUACGGGGUGUAGACACCUCCGUCUGGGUCUGAGCAAAUAACUGCCUCGAGAUAUGAGGGACGCCCCGCUGCCUCAAUGAAGGGCCCAUCUCCGGCUGCCUCUGCGCCGUCUGCAGAAGGCUCGCAUGUCUAGCUGUCAUGAGGCCCUGAAACAACGUCUAAGGGUUGUUAGAGGUUCCCUCAGACGAUACGGACCUUUGGCCCUUCGAACCCUUCGUCGAUCUAAUAUUACCGCUCAUCCUAUUUAAAAUAUAAAUUUGAAUCAAGGCCACAAAAUCAAAAAAUGCAAACUCAUUUAAAAAAUGUAAAAAAUAUAUACACUUCCUAAAUACAAAUUUUCAUUUCCUAAAAUUUACACAUAUACACUUCCUAAAUAUACACUUCAUAAAUAAAAAUAUACACUUCCUAACAACACCAUAACAUUGCAAUUGACCGGAAAAUCAAAGCAAACACAAAAUACAAAACAAAUAUAUACAUUUCCUAAAUACUAAAUACAAAUAUACACUUAUUAAAUAACAAUAUACACUUCCUAAAUACAAAUAUACACUUCCUAACAACACCACAACAUUGCAAUUGACCGGAAAAAUAAAAGCAAACACAAAAAUAUAACUAAAGUUACAGAAAAUGUAACUCGAGGAGAGAGGAGACCGGAGCAGCAGCAGGNNNNNNNNNNNNNNNNNNNNNNNNNNNNNNNNNNNNNNNNNNNNNNNNNNNNNNNNNNNNNNNNNNNNNNNNNNNNNNNNNNNNNNNNNNNNNNNNNNNNNNNNNNNNNNNNNNNNNNNNNNNNNNNNNNNNNNNNNNNNNNNNNNNNNNNNNNNNNNNNNNNNNNNNNNNNNNNNNNNNNNNNNNNNNNNNNNNNNNNNNNNNNNNNNNNNNNNNNNNNNNNNNNNNNNNNNNNNNNNNNNNNNNNNNNNNNNNNNNNNNNNNNNNNNNNNNNNNNNNNNNNNNNNNNNNNNNNNNNNNNNNNNNNNNNNNNNNNNNNNNNNNNGAGAGAGGGAGAGGGCGGCGACCGAGAGAGGGAGCGGAGGCGGAGGAGGGGAAAUUCGGAGAGGGAGAGGAGGCGGAGGCUAGGGCUUACAAUUAACCAGUCGAGUUAUACCCGAAAACUUUAGCCGACGAAAUAAUAAUUUCGUCGGCUAAAAUAAUAAUCUCGUCGGCUAAACCUUUGAAAUUCGUCGGCUAAACCUAUGAAAUUCGUCGGCUAAACCUUUAAAAUUCGUCGGCUUUAAAACAAUUAACCAUUCGUCAAACUGUGAUUGUGAUUGUGAUGAUUAAACUUGAGAAUGAAAAUCCGACUGUCAGAUCUGACCACCAUGAUAAAAUACAUGUAUGGGAAAAAAUUCAACUUGAUCCGACAAGGUUAAGGGCUCGAUCCGAACGGUCAAUCCGUUAAGUCAAACCACUAAACGCACGGAAAAGGUCAUUGGACUGUCUAAAUUACGUAUUUUGGCCGGACCUUCAACUGAAAAUAGUUUCAAACCGAUGAGACGCAACAAGUCCUAUAAAAAUUUUACGCAAAAUAACCACCGAAGAUAGGGCUACCCAUAGGGAGAAAGAAUGGAAAAUUGCAUUGACCGCAACUAUCGGCACCGAGACUUUACCGGAAUACCGUGAUUUUUCAACCGUAGACGUAUUUCACCAUUCUGGUCAUGUCUUAUUUCACGACUUUUUUACGUUUGAAGGUUCUACGUAUAGUUUGUUUUUGAAACGGAACAUUUACUUAACACUUGGUAAACAAGUUAUACAACAUUAGUACGCAUGUUGUGAUUGUGAUGAUCAAACUUGAGAAAAUGAAAUCCGACGGUCAGAUCUAACCAUCAUGAUAAGACACAUGUAUGGGAAAAAAUUCAACUUGAUCUGACAAGGUUAAGUGCUCGAUCAGGACGGUUAAUCCUGUAAGUCAAACCCCUAAAUGCACGGAAAAGGUCGUUGGACCGUCUAAAUUUCGUAUUUUGGCCGGACCUUCAACUGAAAAUAUUUUCAAAUCGAUGAGAAACAACAAGUCGUUUAAAAAUUUUACGCAAAAUAACCACCGAAGAUAGGGCUAUAGUAUGUAACAGAAAAAGUUUAGGGUUUAGCCGACGAAUACCCUAAUUCAUUCGUCGGCUAUAGUAUGUAAUAAAAAAAUAUAACAAUUAAUAAAGCCGACGAAAUAUUAGGGUAUUCGUCGGCUAAGAUUGUUUUAGCCGACGACUUCUAAUAUCCAUCGUUGGCUUAGAUGGUUUUAGCCGACGACUUUCAUUGCAAUUCGUCGGCUAUAAGAUCUUUUAACCGAAGACUUCCAUUUCAAUUCGUCGGCUUUAAGUUAUUUUAGCCGACGACUUCUAGUAUUCUUCGUCGGCUAAGACGAGUUUAGCCGACGACUUCUAAUAUAAUUCGUCAGCUAAGAUGGUUUAGGCCGACGAAUUAUAUUGUAUUUCGUCGGCUUAAGUAAAAAAUACAAACCCUAAAACAGAAGGUUUAAACCAUACUAAUUUCCUGUUCAUAUAUCACCAAAAUUCAUAUAAAAUAACAGAAAUAUGAAUUCAACAUAUGUAAACUAUAAAUUAAGGUAAUACAAUCUUUUUUAUUACAAAUUAAUGUAUUACGUCCUCUAAAUUAAAACUAAGGCUCGUAAUCGGAAUCAUCCGAUGAGUCUUCUUCGGUGUCAGAAUUAAUUUCUGGUAAUCUAUGUAUUUCCUCAUCGCCAGAGUCUUUGUCUGUUUCUUGAUUUGGAUCAACAUCAAUAAGCAUUGGCUCUUCAUCACGAAUUCGCACCGAACGACCCGCUUUAAAAUUAUUAAGGCGAAUGGUAGAGGAGUUAGGAAUACCUAUUGCGUUGGGCACUUGAUACGCAACAUCUUCUUCCUGGUCUUUGGCCUCUCCAAGUGUAGCCGCCCGGUAAAUGUUUCGAGGGUGCACAAGGUUGACUACUUUCCACGCCUCACCCUUAGCAAGGUCAUCAAGAUAAAACACUUGUUUUACCGAUGUGGCAAAAACGAACGGGUCAUCUUCGUAAGAACUUGUAGCAGUGUUUACCGAUAAUAUUCCGUACUGAUCGGUCUUCAUGCUCUGUGGGCUAGUAUCAAACCAUCUACACUUGAAGAGGUGCACUGUCAUGUCUUCACCGUAAACGAGUUCCACCACUGAAUCAAGAACACCGUAAUAGUCAACUCCAUUCCGCCCACCAUGCGCCAUCACCCCAGAAUUCUGUGUUCUCCGCCUGCUAUCUCUCUGUUCACAUAUAAAUUGCACGCCAUUCACCUUGCACAUCGGAUAAACUCUUGACAUUAUCGGCUUCAUCGCUAGAAGUCUUAGUUCGUGCGACCAAUUUGGGUGACCAUCAAAUUGAAUAUGGUUCAUCUGCAACCAACAAUUUAACAUUGUAAAUAUAGAUAAUUAUGCAAUAAACAUAAAUACAUACAUAAAUAUUGAAUUACGUACCCAGCCGCCAAAAUAGUUUGCGAACUCCCUGUUGUGGUACUCGAGAUCACCAUGAAUGUCUGGACAAUAUAGAUGGAUGUCUUUCCAGUAUUCAACUUCUAGACAGUUAAUCAAUACCCACCAGUGGGUAAUGACUAGCUCAUGUGGUUGCAACUUGUAGGAGUCUGGCAAAAUUCCAUAAACUUCAACAUCACUAGAGAAUAUGGAAAGAUUGAACUUCGGUACAUCUACCGACAUGGCUUCGUCUGUUUCCUUCAACGCUCAUAAAUACAACUUCAUGUAGGUGACGCACUCAUGCGCAAUAUAUGCUUCAGCUAUACAUCCUUCAAGCGUGGAUUUAUUAGCCACAUAAUCUUUGUAGUCUCCAAGUUGCCUAUAAAUCAAGUUGCAAAGUGUUAUGAUUAUUGAACAUGUAUAUAUAUAUUGAGGAAUUCAGGUGUAAAAAACGUACCUUUCCAUGGGAUACAUCCAAGUGUAGUGUACUGGACCGGUAAGCAACAAUUGCUCGGGAAGAUGAAUCAUCAGGUGAGGCAUGAUGUCAAAAAUUUGGAGGAAAUAUCCUCUCAAAUUUACACAUGAUAUAAAUGAUGUCCUCUUGCAUUUCCCGGAGGUUAGAUUUUUUCACUUCCCGUGUGCAUAACUUCUGGAAGAAUCUUGCCAACGCUACUAACGGCUCCACCACCUGACGGGGAAGGAACGNNNNNNNNNNNNNNNNNNNNNNNNNNNNNNNNNNNNNNNNNNNNNNNNNNNNNNNNNNNNNNNNNNNNNNNNNNNNNNNNNNNNNNNNNNNNNNNNNNNNNNNNNNNNNNNNNNNNNNNNNNNNNNNNNNNNNNNNNNNNNNNNNNNNNNNNNNNNNNNNNNNNNNNNNNNNNNNNNNNNNNNNNNNNNNNNNNNNNNNNNNNNNNNNNNNNNNNNNNNNNNNNNNNNNNNNNNNNNNNNNNNNNNNNNNNNNNNNNNNNNNNNNNNNNNNNNNNNNNNNNNNNNNNNNNNNNNNNNNNNNNNNNNNNNNNNNNNNNNNNNNNNNNNNNNNNNNNNNNNNNNNNNNNNNNNNNNNNNNNNNNNNNNNNNNNNNNNNNNNNNNNNNNNNNNNNNNNNNNNNNNNNNNNNNNNNNNNNNNNNNNNNNNNNNNNNNNNNNNNNNNNNNNNNNNNNNNNNNNNNNNNNNNNNNNNNNNNNNNNNNNNNNNNNNNNNNNNNNNNNNNNNNNNNNNNNNNNNNNNNNNNNNNNNNNNNNNNNNNNNNNNNNNNNNNNNNNNNNNNNNNNNNNNNNNNNNNNNNNNNNNNNNNNNNNNNNNNNNNNNNNNNNNNNNNNNNNNNNNNNNNNNNNNNNNNNNNNNNNNNNNNNNNNNNNNNNNNNNNNNNNNNNNNNNNNNNNNNNNNNNNNNNNNNNNNNNNNNNNNNNNNNNNNNNNNNNNNNNNNNNNNNNNNNNNNNNNNNNNNNNNNNNNNNNNNNNNNNNNNNNNNNNNNNNNNNNNNNNNNNNNNNNNNNNNNNNNNNNNNNNNNNNNNNNNNNNNNNNNNNNNNNNNNNNNNNNNNNNNNNNNNNNNNNNNNNNNNNNNNNNNNNNNNNNNNNNNNNNNNNNNNNNNNNNNNNNNNNNNNNNNNNNNNNNNNNNNNNNNNNNNNNNNNNNNNNNNNNNNNNNNNNNNNNNNNNNNNNNNNNNNNNNNNNNNNNNNNNNNNNNNNNNNNNNNNNNNNNNNNNNNNNNNNNNNNNNNNNNNNNNNNNNNNNNNNNNNNNNNNNNNNNNNNNNNNNNNNNNNNNNNNNNNNNNNNNNNNNNNNNNNNNNNNAUCAACUCAAAUAAAACUCAAUUAAUCAACAUAUAUAUACAUAUACGUACCUAUAUAUAGCUCCACAAACUAAUUAUGGACAGAUUUCGACAAUACCCAAACUUUUCUCCCGUUUUUUCUUCUCCCGUUUUUUUUUCCCAGAUGAGCUGCUGCUGUCCAGAUCUGCAAAUAUAAAGCACUUUAGCCGACGACAUGUUAAUUUCGUCAGCUAAACUUUUAAAUAUUUCGUUGGCCAUAGUCUGUGAACUUUAGCCGACGAAAUAAAUUCUUUUGUCGACGACUUUUUUUUUUCGUCGGCUAAAGUUUACCAUAGCCGAUGAAAAUUUAACUUAGCCGACGAAGGAAAAUUCCGUCGGCUAAAGUAGACUUUAACCGACGAAAAAAUGGUUCGUCGGCCUGGUUUUUUUUUUUCGUCGGCUAAAGCCUUUCUUCUAAUAGUGUAUAAUUAGCUUUAGUUUUCUUUUAAAUGGUAUCAGAGCCAUGCGCUCGUAGCCUCGCAUAUAAAUCGUUUCAGUAAAAUCAACACAAUAGCAAUUACAUGUUCAUAUGCUAUGCUUCAGAAACAAAACAAAAAAAAAACAACAAAAUUCAGUAAAACGGGCCAACAAAACUGUUGACCCAUUCAGAAAAUAGAACUGGGCCUGUGAGCCGCGUGACCCAAGCCCAAGACCCAUUCUCAGAAAACCCCAAAAGGGACUUCUUCUUAUCGUUGUUAGCAACGAUAAGUUUUUCUGGGUUUCUGGUUUUGGCGAGGGAAGAAGCACGCGAGUUCCUUCAUGAACUCGUUGGGAUUCAAGACCCAUCACUCACGAUUCAGGUAAGAUUAAGAACAAAUUAGAGAACCCUAGAGCACGCCCGGAGUGCAUAUAUAUUAGGAUAGCUGGAGUUGUCCGGAUGGAAUUUGCGUUUUCUAGAUUCUCUGUGUUCUUGAUUGUUUGUUGUUGUUGUUUUGUUUGAUUGGUGCUGCACUUCUGUGUUAUUGUUUGCUUCCGCUAACAUUGCAGCGCUGUAGCAGAUGCCAAGGUAUGUCAAUUGGGUGAAAAAUUGAUUUUUCAAUGAUUUUAGAAGCCUAAAGCUAUCUGCAUAAAAUCUGUAAAUUUUCUUCUGUUGUGAUUGUUAAAGUCUCCCAAAACAAUAUGUUUUAAUCAUGACAAUAAAAUUUGCAGCAAAGGAAUGAUUUUUAUUCAAAGUUUCUGUUAACUUGGAUUAAGAUGAAAACAUAUAGAAAAUUCCUUGGUCUUUGUUUUCUGAUGAUAUGGAUUAGCAUGUUGCACAUAGCAAAACUUUUUCAUGUUUUCAGAUAAUCAUAAAGUUAAAAGGCUGAAAACUUGUGUUACUAAAAUUUUAAAAUAUGCACAUAUUGGCCUCCAUAGAGGUAUUCGCUGCAUUGCUUAAAACUUAGAAUAGCUGCAUACAUGGUCUCUAAUCUCAUAUUUGGUUAUUGUAGAAGCUUUUCUUCUGCCUCUAGGUGAUGAUUGCUUCUUUUAUAAAACUUGGGAUUAAUUACUGUGGUGUGUGGAUUCAGAUUUUCAGUGUGUUUUAUCUUCUGCCAUAUAGGUGUUGUAAAACAUGUAUUUCAGUAUGGGAUAAUUGUGUGCAUAUGUAUGUAUUGAUAUGUAUGUUUUCAGCAUGUUAAAGUGUGAUUUUGUGUUAUGUAAUGUUUAUGUGUUUUGGUUUUAUUUUACUUGAUAUAUUCUACCUAAAACACAGAAAACAUCUAGAUUACCCUCACACUUAAUAAAUACAGUAAAACAAGAACUAAUAGAAAAUCUCUUUUGUUUGCUCAUUAGGUGUCCAAGUUGUCACUCUUAACCAGAUUGAGCUUUUAACUGGUGCAAACUAUAAAACCUGGAGGAGACAAAUUGAUAUGUUUUUCUCCAUGAACCAAGGGCUAGAUACUUGUCUGUUAGAUGGAGUACCAAAACAUAUAGAAGUUGAGGAUAAGGAUCAGUAUUUAGCAGCCUGGGAAUACGAGCACUUAUGGCAUAGGAAGAACAACACCUGCAGAAACAUCAUUAGAGCCACCAUGUCGGACACCAUAUCCGGUACCAUCCCUGAGAUGGAUUAUGCCUAUGACAUGCUUGAGCUUAUCAAUGAGAAGUUCAAGCAUACUGAAAAGGCUGAGACUGCAACACUGUCCCUGAGAUUCAACACUCUUAAGUAUGAUGGUGUUGGAGGUGUCAGGAACCACUACCUUAAGAUGGAGAAUAUAGUCAAUAAGCUUAAGGAUCUUAACAUGCAUCUCCCUUAAGAAUUUGUGGUGCACACUGCACUGCACUCUCUCCCUCAACAAUUCAGUCAGUUGAAGUCGAGUUACAAUGCUCAGAAGGACAAAUGGAGCUUCAAUGAUCUCAUUGCUAUAGCAACUGAGGAGGAGAGUAGAAUUAAGGCAGAUGACUCAAGUUAUGGUGUGAUUAAGGCUUCAACCUCUGAGGCAACAAUAAACCUGGUUGGCAAAAAUGGCAAAAACAAGUGGAAGAAGAAGCUAGGAGCUAAGAAAACCAACUUCAAACCUAGUACAUCUAAGGGGGCAGGUACAUCCGGAAAUGGCACAUUUAAGUAUAAGUGCUAUUUCUGUAAAAAGGCAGGGCAUAUUAAGAAAGACUGUGCCAGCUUUAAGGCCUGGAUGGUGAAGAAAGGUAAAUUUCUUACCUCACCCAAUUCUGUCCUUUUCCCUUCUCUCUAUUACUUAGAAAUUGAUUUAAUUAACGUUGAGCCAAAUACCUUUUGGCUUGAUUCAGGCUCUCCCUUACAUAUAGUUAACUCCUUACAGGGCUUCACAAAGAGGAGGAAACCAAAAAACUGAGGAAGCACGCGUUCGUGUAGGAAAUGGCAUGAAGGUUUCUGUUAAGGCAAUAGGAAGCUUGAAGCUAGAAUUAAGUCUAGGAAAUUUUUUAAUUCUGGAGAAUGUUUACUAUGUACCCGCAAUGAAGAGAAAUUUAGUCUCUUGGGAUCUUUUGAUAGAACUUGGUUAUAGUUUUCUUUAUGACAUUAAUGGAAUAAAGAUUUUUAAGAAUUCAUUACUUAUUGGUUCUGCUCUUCGUUUGAAUGGUUAUUUGCAACUUCAAUGUUCUUUACCUUCUCAAUCAGUCUUUGCUAUUGAGAAUUCUACAGAAAAUUCAAAUGUUUUAAGUAAUAACACUACUGUUGGUGUUAAAAGAACCAUGUUUAAUGAAAAAUCUGCAUACCUGUAGCAUAGAAGACUUGGCCAUAUAUCAAAAGAAAGAAUGAAAACAUUCAUAAAGCUCAAGAUGUUACCAGAAUUAGAUUUCUCAGACUUAAACGAAUGUGUGGAAUGUUAUAGGGGAAAAAUGACUAACAAAUCAAGUAAAGGUGCAUACAGAAGUAAAAGUUUAUUAGAGCUAAUUCAUACUGAUAUAUGUGGACCCUUCAGCCACCACACAAUCUGUGGAAACGUCUACUGUAAUAUCCCAUAUCGGCCAAACAGAGAGGGGUUAUGUGUUGUAUAUGUACAUGCCCACCUCCAAUCUAACACGAGGCCUUUUGGUGGCUCAGAGGCUUCGGAGGGGAUGGGUACUCCGAGGUUAAGUAUGUUGAUGCUAGAGCAAUCCCAGGAUGGGUGACCUACUGGGAAGCUUAUCCUGAGUUGCCGAAAACAAAAACCGUGAGGGCCGGUGGGCCCAAAGCAGACAAUAUCGUGUUACGGCGGAAUGGGUCCUAGGAUGUGACAAAUGGCAUCAGAGCCACUCUGCCGUGUGGUGCGAGUGUGCCGACGAGGGCGUUGGACUCCCAAGGGGGGUGGAUUGUAAUAUCUCACAUCGGCUAAACGGAGAGGGUUUAUGUGCUGUAUAUGUACAUGCCCACCUCUAAUCUAACACGAGGCCUUUUGGUGGCUCAAUGGCUUCGGAGGGGAUGGGUACUCCGAGGUUAAGCAUGUUGAUGCUAAAGCAAUCCCAGGAUGGGUGACCUACUGGGAAGCUGCUCCUGAGCUGUCAAAAACAAAACCGUGAGGGCCGGUGGGCCCAAAGCGGACAAUAUCGUGUUACGGUGGAAUGGGUCCUAGGAUGUGACAUCUACUUCAUUACAUUCAUAGAUGAUUUUUCACGGUUCUGUCACAUUAAGCUGUUAUCAGAAAAAUCACAGUCUUUAGAAGCUUUUAAGAUUUUCAAAACUGAAGUUGAACUUCAACUUGGUUUGAAAAUUAAAACUGUGAGGUCUGAUAGAGGGGGAGAAUAUUUUGGAAGAUAUGCUGAAACUGGUCAGCAUAAAGGGCCAUUUGCCUUGUUUCUUGAGGAACAUGGCAUUUUAGCACAGUAUACGGUUCCAUAUACACCUCAACAGAAUGGAGUGGCAGAGAGAAAGAAUAGAACUCUUUUAAACAUGGUUAGAAGCAUGAUGUGUACCUCAGGAUUACCUAAAUUUUUAUGGGGUGAAGCUUUAAGAACUGCGAAUUAUAUUUGAAAUAGGGCCCCAAGUAAAUCAGUUGAUAAAACUCCCUAUGAGUUAUGGCAUGGCAGGAAACCAAGCCUGCAUCACAUGCAUGUCUGGGGUUGUAAAACUAAGGCUAGGAUUUAUAAUCCUGACUUAAGUAAACUUGAUCCUAAAUCUGUUAGUUGUCAUUUUAUAGGUUACUGUGAAAAAUCAAAAGGGUAUAAACUCUACUCAAGACACCAUUCGCCAAGAAUUUUUGAAACUCAUCAAGUCAAAUUUCUUGGUGAAACAAUUUGCAAUGCAGAGUAUGUGGAUUUAUCCGCAGACUUUGAGGAAGUUGCAAAUGAUUCAGAAAAUCCACAAAACCUACAAAAUAUGUCUGCCUCAUCAUUAGUUUCAGAUACACCUACAGUAAACAAAAAUCUGAACGAAACUAAUAUUUUGGGGGAAGGAACAGAAAAUGAGCCGUUAAAUCAAAAUAUUUCUGAACAUAUGGAAACUGAUGAAACUUUAGAAAUUUCAGAAACUCCAGAAAACUUAAAAACUCUUGAGACACAGCAACCUGUUCUUAAACCGAGAAGAUCCAAAAGGGAUAAAGUUCCCACUUUUGGAGCUGACAGUGAUUACAUGGUGUUUGCUCAAGAAAUUGAACAAGCACUGGAAGUAGAAACUGAUCCAAAAACCUUUUAAGCAGCUAUAGAAAGUGAGGAUUCAGCUAAGUGGCAAGAAGCCAUGGAUGCAGAAAUUGAAUCCAUGAAGAAUAAUAAGGUAUGGGACUUGGUUAAGGAUAUAGGUAAUCAAAAGGCAAUAGGUUCUAAGUGGGUUUUUAAGACUAAGAGAGAUGCUAGGGGAAAUAUAGAAAGAUAUAAGGCUAGGUUAGUAGCUAAAGGUUUCACUCAAAAGGAAGGAAUUGAUUAUACAGAAACAUUUUCUCCUGUGUCUGCAAAAGAUUCUUUUAGAAUCAUCAUGGCAUUAGUAGCUCAUUUUGACAUGGAGUUACAUCAGAUGGAUGUCAAAACAGCUUUCCUUAAUGGUGAGCUCGAAGAGACAAUUUAUAUGAAACAACCUGAAGGUUUCAUAGUUCCAGGUAAGGAGAAGAUGAUUUGCAAACUCAAGAAAUCAAUUUACGGUUUAAAACAAGCCUCUAGACAGUGGUAUAGGAAAUUUGAUUUAGUCAUAUCAACUUUUGGUUUACAGAAAAUAUAGUGGAUGAAUGUGUUUAUCUCAAAACACAGGGAAAUAAUUUUAUUUUCCUGAUCCUCUAUGUAGAUGACAUCCUCCUUGCUAGUAGCAAUCUCAAAUUGCUUAAAGACACUAAAAUCUUUCUGUCAAAGCAUUUUGACAUGAAAGAUUUGGGGGAAGCAUCGUUUUUCUUAGGUAUUGAGAUAAAAAGGGAUAGAAAACGUGGCUUACUUGGUUUGUCACAAGCAAGUUAUAUAGAAACUGUUCUGAAACGUUUUGGAAUGGAAACUUGUGCUGAAGGAGAAGUCCCUAUGUCCAAAAGUGAUAAAUUGACUAAAAAUAGAAUUCCUAAAUCUGAUGCACAGAAAGCUAGUAUGGAUUCAAAACCAUAUGCACCUCUUGUAGGUAGUCUAAUGUAUGCUCAAGUGUGCAUUAGACCAGACAUAGCUUUUGCCGUUAAUAUGCUUUCCAGAUUUCAAAACAAUCCUGAAAUUCAGCAUUGGAAUGCAGGCAAAAAGGUUCUAAGAUACCUUCAGAGAACCAAAUACCACAUGCUUGUUUAUAGAAAAGUGAAAAAUUUAGCUCUAAAAGGUUACACGGAUUCAGACUUUGCUGGGAAUUAUCCAGAUUCAAAUAAGUCUACGUGUGGUUAUGUGUUUAUGUUAGCUGGAGGUGCAGUUGCAUGNNNNNNNNNNNNNNNNNNNNNNNNNNNNNNNNNNNNNNNNNNNNNNNNNNNNNNNNNNNNNNNNNNNNNNNNNNNNNNNNNNNNNNNNNNNNNNNNNNNNNNNNNNNNNNNNNNNNNNNNNNNNNNNNNNNNNNNNNNNNNNNNNNNNNNNNNNNNNNNNNNNNNNNNNNNNNNNNNNNNNNNNNNNNNNNNNNNNNNNNNNNNNNNNNNNNNNNNNNNNNNNNNNNNNNNNNNNNNNNNNNNNNNNNNNNNNNNNNNNNNNNNNNNNNNNNNNNAUUUUGUUAUCAAUAAAUUGAGGUAUUCAGUUCUUCAUGAUUGCUGCAGCAUUAUGUUUGGUAUUUGAAAUUUAUUUCUCAUGUUCAAUUUUAUUUUAUCAAGUUGUUAUGAAUUCAAGUGGUUGGCCAUAUGCAGAAUUUGUUCUGUUUCAUAUGUUGCCUUUAAGUUAACAAGUACAUCUCCACCUGUGUGUAAUUUCGGUACUUGUGAUCUUGGAGUUUUUGUUUAAAACCGUUUAGUGGACAGAGAGAAUUUUGACAAUGCAGUUUAAUAUAUAAUGUCAUUAGCUCUAUUCAGUUCAUAUCUGGAACUCUUGUACUUUGCAGGAACUUGUAUUGUGGUCUUCAAUCUGCAGAUUUGUUAAAUCUGUUAGAAUUUUAGAUUCAGUGCUUGCAACUGAAAAGUGACUGAGUUGUUGCUGUUGGAUUUUCUUGCAUUUGUAUAACUCACGCAUGCUCUUCA